UACUAUUUUCAGCACACAAUUCUUCUAGUCCGAUAUAUAUGCACCCAAGCCAUUUGAUGUAUACAAGUAUUUCGAUUCCCCCUGUUCUCUGUUCUUGUAUACCUCCUUGUUCUUUGAAUUGCUUGCUGUCAGUUCGUUGGAGUUGGAGUGAAAACCUUAGUUUUAUGUUCAGUAAUAUGGAAGCUUAUGUAGAUGUAUCUCAGAAGCAAGUAUGUAUUCAGAGAGAAUCCCCACCUCUCUCCAAAGUUGGGUGGAUGAUUUUCACAUGUGUAACCAUCUCUUUGUUAUGUGGUUAUAAACAUUUUUCAAUCUGUGUAUGGUUGCUAUGAGUGGAACUAAUUUUGGAGCAGCGGAAAAUUCAAAAUUUUAUCGCUGCCUCCUUUUCAGGUCAGCGGCAUGAGGCUUGGAGUGUGCUUCUAGAGAGUUGGACUGGGAGAGACUUUGUACAGGACUUGUGAAGACUCAUUUGUAGGUGUUCUCACCAUGCAUCUUGGUUGUGUUGCUAUAUAUGGCUGUCAGACAUAUUUUCCAUAUGUAUCUACGGCUUGGUUGAACAGCAAAUGUGUAUGCAUACAUCUAUAGACCGUACUGGGAAUAUAUAUGGUGAUUAGUAGUAGUACUUCAGUAGUAAGCAAAAUACAAAUUGAUUUACCUGUUGUCAAAGAUGGAAGCAGAAAGAUUGUCUGAAUGGGAGGAUCGGCUGCUGGAAAAGAAUAUGCAAACUUCAUAGAAGACCCGAGGGAAACAAUAAUACACUAUCAUAGCACUAAAUAUAUAGCAAUCUAAGGCGACUGAGGUUCAGGGAAAUAUCAGACUUAACUAAUUUAUUAAAACUUCAUACGGCAACUAAUUGUGCGGUAUGAAAUCACUUAAUACCCCUCUUUUGAUUCAAAUAAUUUUGGAGAUACAAGCACACAUAUGGAUAAAUGAAGUCUUAGCAUACGAAUUGUGUAUAUUUGCGUGUGUCCCAUCUGCGUAAACCUAUAAAAACCAAUUAUUCAGAUCUGUCAAAUAUGUAGAUGCAUUCAGGCUGUAGUUUUUUCAUUCAUCAAGAACUCUAUCGUGGGCUCAUACCUGGGCAGAUUGGAGGCCCAUUGCCAUACGAAAUAAGGCCACUGAGGCACUGACCUGUAAAAAGACUGAAAUGGCUACUAAGUAUCCCUCCGUUUUCUUUUUACUGUACUUGCAUAUAAGAUUUGUCUUAAGUCAAACUUCAUAAAGUUGACCAUAAUUAUAUACCAAAUUAUGAACAUCUACUAUACUGGAGAUAUACAAUAUGAAAGUUAAUUCAAGUGAUGCAUCUAAUGAUAUCGAUUUUAUGUUGUGAUGAACCUUGAUAUUUUUCCUAUAAUUUUAGUCAAACUUUACUAUGUUUGACUUGAGACAAAUCUUAUAUGCUGACUAAAAAGAAACGGAAGAAAGGAGUACUUGGAAGUGAACACUAGAUUGAUACUACUGCUUUAUAGACACUCUUCCCCAAAAUAAACCAGACAAAUGGCAUUAAAAUUCAUCAAUACAUGCGACAAUUCACUGAAUUAACUUUUGUCCUCCUCUUGUUUGGACAGAGCCUUGAGCUUUUCUCGAAUUUUCUGGACCGGAGCAAUAGCAGGUUGGGGCUGGAGCCACAUGCAGCAUCCACGACGCAGCGGCUUCACUAACUUGGCCUCGCCAUUGAUGAGGCUACACCUGUACACACGGCUCAUGAAGACGAAGUAGGCGCACCCGCCCUCGAUGCCCAGCUGCGCAGCGUCGACGCAGAAGCUGGCCCGGGAACCGAGGAACAAGGUGCGGUCGCCCAAGCUACUGGCGUCCCUCAUCGCCCAUCGCAUCUCGCCGCCCGCUCCUUCUUCCAGCGUCUGCACCGUCACUGAUAAUGGCGGCGAUGGGUCCCCCAAGUAGUGAUGACGACGCCAUUCACGCUCCAUGAGGAUGGAUGCUCGCAACAGCUCGCCACGGGACUCGAGGACGUAGCUGCAAAAGCCGUAUCGUCUGUCCUCGGCUUCACGACAUGGUGUCUUGAGCUCGCCGACGGAUGUGUACUGGUCGGUGUUGUCUUGGAAGUCCAGGAUGCAACACCAGAACAAGUCCUCCCACACCAGGGCCUUGUCGUCGUGAUAUGCAGCACAGCAAAAGUUUGCCAACCUAUUCAGUCUCUUUUUCAUGACUGCCCACGCCGCCUCGCCGGGACGCAGGACGGCCGCCGUGAAGAUCGCCCCGUAACCCUUAUCACAGGCUCACAGCUGUAUAGAAAGAUGGUUCCGUCGCCAUAGACGACGCCAUGGGGAUUCCUCAUCCGCUUGAUCACAUCGCUGUAAGUGUCGGUAUCAUCAGGGAAAGGAGGCAGGAGCUUGGUGGUUCCAGAUACUAGGUUGAUUAGUUUUGGCUCAGGACCACCGGUAAAGAGCCAGACGGCCGUGCCAUCUGCGCUAGCCACCCAGUUCCUGCCGCCGCCUCCCGUGGAUGGAGCCGCGGCAGCGAGGACGAUGUCGUCGUUGUAAUCGCGGCGGUUGCUCGAUGACGCAUCCUCGGAAGAGACUUCGACCUCCGAGUAGACCACGGGGGAGUGCAUGAUCUGGCCGUCGUUGCUUGGCCAGAGGAGCCAUGGCAGGAACUUGGGGCGCGUGGCCGCGGAGUGCAGUCGUUCCCGCCAGGACGUGCAGACGCUGUGGAAGCGGACGAAGUCGACGGGGUCGUGCAGACGGGCGGAGACGGCGAGGAGCAUGUCCGGCGAGAGAUCGGACCACUGCCGGGAUUUCCUCAGGGCGGACAUGCCGCCGGGCUGCGGCGCCUGCGCAGCGGCGACGGGGGUUUCCAUGGGAUCAAAUCAGAGGGGAUCAAGAUGCGUAAUCAAGAAGAGAUCGGAUCAGAGGGGCACCAUGGACUACUCGACCCUAGCGUGAUUACGUUUAAAACAAAGAAGAGAUUACGUUAUUUCAGUUUGUUACCAAUACCAAAAACAUGUACUGGCAGAUAGCUUUUCAGCCGACUUAGGGCCAGUUCUUUUCGGUGGAUUCAAAUUUUAAAAAUAAGCUACUUCCUCUCAGUUUAAAAAUAAGUCACCUUAUUAAGACUUCUAAAUUGAUUAUCCCAUAACUAGUUUGAGAGACGGUUUAUGGUAAAAACUACGGAACACUAACGCUCAUACGUGUGGGGCGUUACCCAACUCGCACACACGCCUCGAUCGUCGUCCACUGCCUUUUGCACGAAUCUUGGCAUGAAAAGGUUGAUUUUGUGUGCCACGUAGGACAAGUCGCGUAUGUGGCGUGUAGGCGAGUUCGUCCGCACGCCGGUUUUUCCUCCGAGGUCAGCGGUUGCCAGUCGGGCCGUGUGGUGGGACUGCCGUCACGCCCGCACGCCACGCCCGAUUGCGGUUGCCGUCUCCCACGUCUCGCUACUUCGCUCUCCCCUCGCGGUUCAUUUACUCCCCUCCCCAUUCAUUACUCCCCAACCCACUAUCCACACCAGUUGCAUUCGAUUGAGGAGAAACCGAGAGGAGAAGGCGACGGCGGCGGCGGAAGAGUCGACCGCAUUUGCGGCCGUUGGUGGGGCUCGCUGAACCGGAGCGUUGUCGCCGGAGCAGCCGCAGAUUGAAGGUAAGGCUCCCUCCCGUGCUCACAUUCCUGCCUGCGAUUUCCGCCCCGUCCAUCUGUGGUCAAUUUCCGAUUGAGUUUCCUCGAGAUUCCGGCCGAUUCGCGGUGCUCCGACGUCCCGUCGGCGGUGGAGUCGCGUGCUUGCCAUUUAGGGUGGCAUUGCACAAUUUCGUCGCCGCCGCGGUGGCAGUCAUGCCGGUGUGGCUCGGCCUGUCCGCAGCCACAUCCGGUUUUUGCCAUGCGAUUGAGCGGGCGAUUUUCUAGAUGUUAGUUAUGAUUUGCCUCGAAAUGCUAUGGCCAUCAGUGUAGGGAGUUUUUUGUUGUUGAAUUCAGGGUAUGAUAGUUGCGAAUGAACCCUAGAUCUAGUUAGGUGCAUUUCAAAGUGCAAGAUAAUGGCAGCCAUGGCAUUUUCAACAACUAUCAUCACUAAUGGCAACUAAUUUUCUGAUCAACCGUGUCAGUUGCCACGACUAUGCUUUUCAUGUGGCAACUAAUUUUGUGAAUACACUAUGCCUGUUGCCAUGCCAUAUGCAGGAUAAUGGCAAAUUCACUGUACAAUAGACUCAAUUGCGUUUGCCAUGCUGACUUGUGAUAGCUGAACAUAUUUGACUGUAUUACAUGGCAACUCAUUUUUAUACGAGCCCAGGGUGUGAGUUGCCACAUUAUAUGUUGUGCAGUAGAAGUUGUCUGCCCCUUUUUUGAAGUGCCUUGUGUUAACAUGGCAACUUGAACCUAGUACAUUAUGUGAAUACAUGGCAACUCAUUUUUAUAUGAGGCCAGGGUGUGAGUUGCCACAUUAUAUGUUGUGCAGUGGAAGAUGUAUACCCCUUUUUGGAGUGCCUUGUGCUAACAUGGCAACUUGAACAUAUUUAAAGUGCCUUAUGAUCUGUACAUUUUUUAUGAAGCCAAUGUGUUAGUUGCCACAUUUCAUGUUGGACAAUCCUAGGAGGGUGGGUGUUCCUAUGAUAUGCCUCAUUUGCCACUUUCAUUGGAGCCAAUAUGGCAAGUAGAUUCUGCUAGCUGGCAAGUGCUUCCUUUAGAAGCACAUACAUGUCCAGUUGCCAUGUUUCUGCAACUGCUUUUCAAUUUUGAUUAUUUUUCUGCCUUUUUGUGCAUGUUCAGCACAUGGCAAUUACUGCCCUCUUCAGAUGCUUAAACUUUGGGGCAACCAUUUGAGUUUUCAUUUUUGUUCAUCGAAGAUAUCAAGUGAAUAUUUACUUUAUGCAUUUCUUUCUGUAUCCGUCGGCUGUGUUUUCAUUUCACCCUAACGUGUGUUUUGUUCUUACAUUAGCACAAUGGCUCGCAGCGACCAUCAAGACGAUGAUGAUGACUUCAUAGAGUUACCGCAAUAGAAUCGCGCGACUGGUCGGACAAAAGAUGGCGAUGAGGUCAUUUUUCCACCCCCAUAUGUUUUAAUGUCACAUUGAGUUUUCAAUCUUCCGUUAGAAACUAAAUUUUCACGACAUUGAACAUGGCAACAAAUGAUCCCUUUUCUGUUAUGCAGAAGAAGAAACGUCAUCGCAAUAGGGCUUCGCAAGAACGCGUGACUAUAUUGACCGAGGGAUUUCCUAAUGAGCAGAAGGGAGCUGCCGGUGAGAUGGGGAUGCAGGCUCUGGUCGAUGUUCGGUGCAAGAACCUAGUGAACCCUGUAUGCGACCGGCUCGGUGAGAUUUAUGAUCCUGCCUCCCGGGAAUUCGUGAUUCUAGGACAUGGAAGACUGCCUUUGGAUGAGGAAUCCGUGUUCUGCACUUUGGGUUUGCCCCUGGAGAAAUCAAAGUCCCGUAUGAGGUGAAUAAUAAGAUUGAGGAAGCCUUGUUUGCCCGUUUGUCUCCUGGGAUGGCAUCCAUGCCGAAUACGACUGUGCUGGCAACUUCGCUGGAGGGCAUGAAAACCCAUUGCGAGGUUUUUAAGAUGAAGCUCCUCAUGCACCUGAUCUCAGCUGUCUUUGCGCCUACCACAUCUCUUCGCCCAAGCAACAAGUGCUUCCCCAUCGUGGUGAAUGCUCUCUCUCUCUACUUCUUUUCCCCUUCAAUCUUUUGAUUUUAAUGUCAUCUGGAAGCUAGUCACUGCCAGUUUUUUGAUGUUUUCAUUUGAAUGCUGAUGCGGCAACUUUUUGUCCUGAAAUUGUGUUGUGCAGACGAAGCUGAAAGACGUGAAGAACAUGAAUUGGUGUAAAUUCAUCGCGGACUUCCUGCAUGAUGCAUUCUCAAACAAGAUGUACCAGAAGGGUUGUCGCUUACACUUAAUGGUAUUUUUUCCCUACUCUUUUGCAAAUACUCUUACCACGGUUCAAUGUUUUCCCAAAUCAACAUGGCAGUUGUUGAUAAGUGUGAACCGUACAAGAUCGUGCAUGGCAACCCUUUGUUUCAUUGUUUAUGUGAAUCUUUUACAUGUGAAAGUGACUUCUGUUUGAUCCAUGACAUCUGUAGUUGCUGCCUACAAGGCAAUAGCAUUUUUCAACAACACAAAAAAGUGUUCAUUUCAUACAUCCACUCUCUUUUAUACAACUAGCAAAGUGGCCCGCUCGAUGCGCAGGCUAGAAUUUUGAAAGUUUAAUAAUGAGAUCUUAUUAUUUGAUAUGUGUAAAGAAACAGCGGAGCCAUGGUAUUUUAUUUACAUAUAAAAAUAUAUAUGUCGUCCGUUUAUCAUUUAGCUUGUGUUAUGCAUGACGUUGUCACUAUAUAUUUUCUGAUCGGUCGUGUUGUGCAUAUUAUAUUUAGAUCCUUUUUUCCAUCAUUUUUACCAUGUUGCAUUGUAAUAUAAUUUUUUUCAACUUUAAUUUAAUCUCAUUGUAUCCAUGUAGGCAUAACAAUAUUUGCUAAUGUGUGUAAGAUUUACAUAUAAAUUACUAUUUUUUUUGUUUUUUACUGUAACUUUUUCUAAUCUUGUAUACAAAAUUAGAGUGCAUUUAUAUACUAUAUGUAGUGUCUUGUUAUAUAUUUGUUUCCAUGAUCAUUUGAUUUAGGUAAGUUAAGGCUCAUGCACUAAGCGGGACAAAUAUUUGCUUACAUUAUGUCAUAAGCGAAGUUUGCUACUAUAACAGUGCCCACAAUUUAUAGGGAAAAAACAUCCUCCAAGAUAGUGUGGACACUACUUCCGGACAAAAGCAUUGUCCACACUAUUACGUACAUUACAGCUUUGAAAGUUAAUUUUAGCAUUCCUAAUUCCAAGAUAGUUAGAACCCAUUUUUAAAAUUAUUAUAGUAUAUUAUUUGGUCGUGUCAUGCUUAAGUUUGUCGGAUUCUCCAGGAUUUAUUUUAUAUUGCAUAAUAUUUGAUGAUUGUGAUGAAAAGACUGACGUUGAUAGAUAUAUUUAACUUGAAUUACAGAUUAUUUCUUUGAAAAGAAAAGUAAUCACGUUUGGCUAGUCAAACUUACAUAACAAAGAUGUAAACCAUGUGUGCAUGUAUGGCGUCAAAAUGCUCAUCAAAUACGGAUUACCUUGACAAUGCUUGAAUAGUUAAUAGGAAGUAACACACAUCUUGUCUACAUAUAUGCUACCUGACGGUUAGCAUGGUACUUUGAUCGGUCUUGUUUGCAUAUGUAUUUUGUUAUCGCUCCGACCUAGAUCAAAGCAGUCGUGCAACUCCUGACUUGGUCCUGGUCCGUUGCCUGUAGAGGCUGAGAACCUCUGCAUGUAAUCGGACUCACCGUUGUUGGUGAACAUGGCGAGGUUGUUUGCCGUGUUGUCAAUGAGAUGUACCCCUAGCCCCUAGGCGACAUCAUGUUGGCAAGUUGGGGACCAUGGCCUGACGGAAGAAGUGCACUGCUAGAGUUUGAAGCACAUGCGUUCAGAGCUAUAUACGUGGAUAUCUUUUUAAGCUGAUGUUCCCAUAUUUUAGGUAUAGCAUGUGAUGCAUGCAUAUAUCAAUGGCCAUGUACGCAUGUUUUCUUCUUCCAAAAAAUCCAUUAAUGCAUGUAUACUGCAAGGCAUGUAUGCUAGCUUUUUUUUAAAUGGACCGCUCAUGUAUGCAUAUUGCAUCCAUGCACAUGUGGAUAGAUUGUUUUUGUUAGCUCAAUCUCUCAUGCAUGCAUAUUGUUUGGCAUGAGCCCAUAUCCCACGCACAUUAAUUUUUUCUGCCCAUGUUCCAUGUACGUUAGGAUUUUUUUUGAGAUUGAUUUCUCAUGCGUGCAUAUUGUUUGGCAUGUCCCCAUAUCCUACGUACAUUAUUAUUUUUCUGUCCAUGUCCCAUGUACGUUAGAUCUAGUCUGUUAGUUAAAUGAUGGGUCCACCAAAUUAUAUUUUUUUAUUCUUUUUUUAGAUUGGUCGGUUUUAGAUCUAGUCUGUUAGUUAUAUCUUUUAAGUGACGGGUCCACCAAAUUAACGGCUAGAUGUUUCUGAUUUUUGUGGUAAUUUCUUGCUUAUUUAUCUUUUUUCUGGGUACCCCUUUUUUUUUAGAUUGGUCGGUUUUAGAUCUAGUAUGUUAGUUAUAUCUUUUAAGUGAUGGGUCCACCAAAUUAACGGCUAGAUAUUUUUUUAUUUUUGUGGUAAUUUCUUGCUUAUUUAUCUUUUUUCUGGGUACCACAUCAAUUACUUUUAAUAUAUAAAUAGAUCUGCAUGGCAACCAUGAUGUUGAGCUGGUGGCAGCGACCAGUAUAACAAGAUGGCAACUGCCAACACAGCAUGAUGGCAACUAACAAUAGAUAGAUGGCAAAUCGUUUUUUCUUCAUUCCCUUCAACUUGAUGACUCAAGGAAACUACAUUAGCUUCUUUUUCAACAUAGCAUGAUGGCAACUGACAUAUUUUUAUUUUUUAUUGUGUAUACCAGCUCAUGUACGUCGAUCGUCUUGAUCUGUUCACCGUCGACUUUACUGGGAUAGGAGGCCCGCCGCCUCUACAUAAGUUUGCUGUCUCUGCAUGGACGUACGAUGCUGUCAAGGCUGUGCUUGCCGCAGACAGGAUAACUGAUACGAAAUAUGGGAAACUGCAGGUUAGUUUUGCCUCCUCUCUUGCACGGCAUUCUUCAAUUUCGAUGUUGCAUAACAUAUGAAAAAAAAUCCCCAUAUGACAACCAUCUGUGGCUAACAAUAUAUAAAUACCUUGGCAGCCAUGGCUGUCUGCACAUGGCACCCAUGUCUGACCCCACACGGCAACUCCGCCAUCCAUGUCGAAACUUCUUCUUUUUCCCUCUUUUUUGCAAUACAUGAAUUGUUAGUCACUGCUCCUUAUUUCUCUCUUACAUCUUAGUUGUUUUUGCUUUUUUCCAGCUGAUGGCCAAGCAUGCUAUAGACUACAGUGUGUUUGGUGGGCCUCAAAACUUUGGCAAGUGGAUGGAUGUGCAUUCAGCUCCAUCUUGUCCUGCUGAGGUAAUCAAGGAUGUAUAUUUUGUUUUUUGAAAUUGUUUUUCUCUUUUAUUUUUUGAUAUAUCUCUAUGGUUGUUCUGGUUUAUUUGUUCUUACGCACGUGACUGUAACAUGUUUGGUUACUGCUACUUUUUGUUUUGUGCUCAGGCGAGGGCACCCGUUGAGCAUCUAGUUGGGCAGUUUGCUUCCGGCAUGACCAGCUUGCUCGGGAAGUUGGUUGAGGGUUGGAUGGCACUUAAUUGCUCUGACAGCGACGCGGUUGCGAGGUAGUUCACACCAUUUGUUGAAGAACAGACACAUCGGCCAACUUGUUGCCGUGGCCCGUACGACUACAACAGCUACCAGGAGCUCCCUGACACGCAAGAUGAACUAGAUGGAGAUGCUGGUCUUGACAAGGACGAUGAUGAUGACAUGGAGAAUGUGCAACAUGAAAACGACGACGAUGAACAUGUUGAAGUUCGUGUAGGUGGUAAGAAGGACAAGGCUGCACCAAAUGUCCCCCCACCGGAGAAAGUCAUUGAACAGACAGUUGCGAGAGACACGGUGGUGUUGCCUUCAAAGAGGGGCAGGGCUCCAGAGGAUGUUGGGCAGAGCUCUGUUGGCAAGAGGUCUAGGACCGAUCCUGUAGCUGCUAGGAGGAGGUUCGACAUCUGUUUAGUGUUUUGUUUGUCUCUCCUUUUUAACAGACCGACCCUUUUUUCAUUGUUUGCUAAGCGCGGCAUGAUUUUUGUGUCUCACACUUGGUACCCUUUUUUGCCAUUAUUUCCAUGUGCAGUGAGGCGAUAUCUGGUGGACGAGCAGUUAAGAAGAAACAAACACCAACGCCAACCCGUGUUUCUGCCCGAUUGAACAAGGGUGCUUCCACUGCUGGUGACUCCACUUCCAAUAGGUCGUCUCCUCGUACGUCGACGUCCAACACCGGGGAUCCUAUCGUGUUGGAAGACUUGAGGAAGACAAUCAAGAAGUAGGUUCUCCCUGUUUUUCCAUUGUCAUAAUGCUAUUUUUUUGCUUGAUGCAUUCUAGAUCAUACACAACUUUUUUAGUUGAUACAUUUUAUGUGGCAACUACCGUAUGCUUUUCAAUGCAACUGUCUAGCUUGCCAUAUGGGCUACUGCCAUCAGUCCCACAUGGCAACUACUGUUUUCUCAUGAUCUUUUUUUGCUGCAUGGCAACUCCUGCUUGUUCUGCAUGGCAACUGCUAACUAGGCCACAUGGCAAUUCUUAUUCCACUUAUAUGGCAACUAGCAGCUUUCCACUGGCUUAAACCACCUACAUUGUCAUGUGUGCUCAUCCAUACCUUGUUCUCAAAUGGCAGCUCUGGCACAUCACACAUGUUUUUUUCAUUUUUAAGAUGACUACCAUGGCAACUAUUUUGUUCAAAUUUUUAUACUCUUUUCAUGUGCUUUCUUGCAGCGUGACCAAACAGAACCCUAGAGACCCACUCGAACGCAUUCAUUCCAAGCUGUCGAGAAGUGGCAACUCAGAUGUUCAUGAGGCGCCAGUCGACAAAACUGCUGCUGCACCGUCCACUGUUCCUACUAGCUCUGAUGCAAGCGGCCGACCAUCUCCGCUGGUUGCAGAUGUGCAGGCUACAACAACAGGCAUCUGUACAUCUGGGAGUGAUGAGUCAUUAUCUACCAGGACUGCUGAGACAGUGCCCACUCUGCUGGCAAUGAGGGAUGCUGCUGUGACCCAUGCCACCCGAUCAGCAAGUGUUGAAGUGGACGUUCGCGAGAUCAACCUAAGCAAGAAAGAUUCCCGCUCAUCUGAUACGGAUUCCAAGCGUGUGGCUGCUGGUACUUAUGCGUCCACAAAAGAAGGGGUUGCGGCCACAAUUCAGAAUGAGAUGUCAUCCACAGGUGAGACUCAUGGCACAACAGCUCCAGCUUCUGGUGGUCCAGAGGUUGCUAUGGCGACCGUUGCGCGAGUUGGUCUUCCACCUAGGCAGCGUAGCCCCCGCAAGCAUCCUGCAGACAUACCCAAUGCACCAGAUGUAGCUAGGAGCAGCAGAGAUGACUCUGGGUAUGUGCCUGCUUCCACACUAUUCCCACCUCCUGCCAAAAGCAAUGUUAUGGAGAAAACGGAAGUCCAGAGUACAACUGACGCAGGUGGCAAGACGGGCACGACUGACGGAGGUGAACGUCCGGAGCAGACUGCGUCUUUCACCACCGUGGAGAACCCCAGCUUAAAUCUGCGCACUUCUAAGCUCCCAAUCAACAUUGGUGUCCCAUACAGCCCAAACAAGAAGAUUGGCAAGAAAGUUGUGAUUGAUACCGCUGGCAGCACGCCCCGCCCUACUAAUAAGCCUGAUGAUACUGUAGCAGAUGAGGAAGAAAUGUUUGUUGAUCUAUCACCCCUGGAUUCUGCCAAGCAACUUGUUCGCGAUCCGGCUGGUAGGGUGGAGAGGCACCCAAUGGCCUUCAUCCCACCGAGCUGUAGCCUUGGCAUCGACCGCAGUCAAGAUGAACCAGUGGUGCAAGAUCCUGUGCCAGUUGCCUUUGCUUUCCCGGCAGGCAUGGCCUCAAUGAUGGCGCAUCCAAUGGCUGAUGACAGGAAGGCUGUGAAGUUUGUAGAGCCGAUAGUGCAAGGCACAUUUUUUGUGUGUUUAUCAUUUUGUUUUCUACAUUUUUUUAGUCUGACGUUUGUCACAAGAUUUUUUUGGUUUCUCACUGGUGAUGGAAAAUCUCAUGAGAUGCACAUGGCAACUGGAGUUGCUGCAACAUGGCACCUACAAUUGUUGCCAUGUUACAAUUCCAUUCACCAAGCACAUGGCAACUGGAGUUGCUGCGACGUGGCAACUCCAGUUCAAUGUACUUGGCAACCGCAGUUGUUGCCACAUGGCAACUACAGUGCACUACACAUGGCAACUGGAGUUGUUUCCACAUGGCAACUCACUAUUUUGCACCUACAAUUCACAUUCUGCACCCUUUUUUCACAAUAACUUAGUUGUUUCCAAGUAUCCUAACCCGCUGUUUGAUCCUUGCAGCCACCCCUAAGGAGAUUUCGCCGUCACUUGAUGAAGCUUACCGCAGGAUUGAGGAGGAAGCAUUGAAGAGGAGGUCCUCAUGGGGUCAGGGGCAAUCAAGUUCUAACGUGCUUGCUGAGUCGCUAUCCGAGGAUACCGUUAGAAGUGCCACCCCUGGAUCUGUGAGGCAGCAUAGGGUAGUUCACGCACCACCCGUGGAUGACUAUGAGCCCGAAGUCAAGGCCACAAAGGAGAAGAACCAUCUGUAUGAUAUUGUCAAGCGUUUUGGAAAUGCGAGAUCCAACAGCAAGUACAUGAAGGAGCUGAAAGUGUGACGUCCACACCACAUAACCCCUCACUUGCUUUUCUCUUAUUUUUUUCCUUUGCUAUUCCAGCCAUGCUUUGUUUGCAUUUUAUUUUUAUUUUAUUUAGUAGACAUGAUUCUUUCAAGUUAUAUCAUUUUCAUACAGCUCAUGUUUGGACAGAACCAAAAUCAUACAAUGUGAUGCGACGUACGUCGACCUGGGUGAUCUUGCCGAGUCUGUGAGGCCACUUGGUAAAAUGUCACAGAAUGUAGUUGCGUGUGGGAUUGACUUCAUCAACAGACAUAUGGAUAUUUGUCCCGACAAGACGAUCAUGCAGUACAGUGUAACCUGCAAAAUAUGGGAUGAUGAUUUCCACCAUAAAAUCCCGAGGAAGCAUUUUGCCGCGCAUGGUGAAUUCAAGCUCACACUGAAGAAAUGUGUGAGUGUUCCUUCUUGUUUGCACAUAUUUCUCCCAUGCUAUGUUUUGUCAGUAGCUAUGCUUGACAUGUGGCCCACAUACUAUUUUGUGACAGAUGUUUCAUGUGGCAACAGCUGCCAUGUAAAUAAGUUUGAGUGUUUUUAAUUCAACUUAUGUGGCAACUUCACUUAAAAUAUUGGGCAACUUUGUUCAUACAUGGAUGGCAACUUCUUUUAAUUACACAUGGCAAAUAAACAUUCUCUGUGGGUGCAUUUUUGGACACUUGCUGCUUUGUCGUUCAUGUACCUCUUACAGCAUCCGGCAAUAUCUAUACAUAUCAUUUUUCCAAUUACAUUACUUCUAUUUUUUUAUGUGAACUCUGCUUUUUUUUACUUGCAGGUCCUGUUCCCCAGGGAGCUUGCACCAGACAACCCAGAUGACAAGUGUGGUCACCACUACGUGAUUUGCCUUGACCUGGAGAACCAACGAUUUGAGGUACUUGAUUCAAUGCGUUCAGAAGCUGAUGAAGACCUUACUACACAUACUGAAUUCUUCAUCAACAACCUCAAAGAGACAUGGAACCGUCACUACGAAAACUCAAAGGUCUAGAUCAGUUAUUUUCCAAUCGAUUAUGUCACGACUACGAAGCAAGGAAACCGGUAAUUACUAUCUUUUUCAUGUGUCCUCCACACCAAUCCUAAACCUUUUGUCACCUCUGCAUUGAAGUUUAUGAUUUUUCUGUUCUCUUGAGUUCACCUGAUUCUUCUCUUUUAUAGGCAUGACUGUGGCUUUCACACGUUGGAAUACCUUGCAAAGUGGGAAGGUCGACGGGUCCCUGUCGUCACAGCUGCAAUGGUCGUUGAGCUCCGCAAAAUAUACACAUGGAACUGGUUGAUGAAUGAAGAUUUCAACACGCGGGCCAAUGCACGAGAGUUCAUAGAGGAAGCUGUCAAAAAAGCCAACAAGAAGUACAAGUGAUCACGUGGUUCUCCACACCGCACGCCUACCUUACAUUCUGUGGCUGAGGAAUGUAAGGUAUCAACUUGUUCUUUUAAAACUAUGUCCGUGUGCUAUGUUAUGACUGCCCCCCCCCAUAGUCUAGUAUGUAGUGGUGGUGUGUGAGUGCCAUUUGAAAUAUUUGUAAUAUAUGUGUGGAUGUGAACCUACUUAGGUGUGACAGCAGCUACGUUUAUGUUCAGUACUAUCAUGUGUUUGUGGUUGGUAGUACUAGUUGGGUGUUUGAAUGCGUCUAUGAUGCCUGAAACAUGGCAAAUAUAGUUGAUCAGACACGGUUAGUGAAAGUAAUCGUUCCGUUUUUUUGGCUUUUGGGUUUUUUGCAUUGCUAACUGUAUCGGUUAGCAGGGUAGUUCAUAAGCAGCUGUUACCUCGUGUUUUUUGCACGCGAUCGUUUCAACUAGUUUGCUCAUGGUAUGCAUACAAUAUAAUAUGUCUGGGGAAAAAUGCGUUGUUUGAAAACGGAAUUAUACGCAAUGGCAGAUUCAGUAGAAAUAACAUGGCAGAUUCGAUGGAAGCUGCAUGGCAGAUUUAGUAGCACACACAUGGCAAUUUUAGUCAUUCAUUCAUGGCAAUUUCUUCAAACUCUGAUGCCCACCAACAUUCAUUCUCCCAUUUUUUUUAAAUCUAGACCAUCUACCUUACAAAAAACACCAACACCCAAGUUACAAUCCUUCACAGUUGCUUACGGGUUGCCCGCCCCUUUCUUUGUUUUCUUGUGCUUUGCUUGAAUUUCCAACCCCAAUUUGUAUCUCACCUCUUUUGGACGCCCUUUUGUGAUGGAACGGGGCAGGUUCCUGACCUGGGUUUGCAUGCUUGCUGUUCCAGAGCCUACCUCCGAGUUUUCAGAUGAUGGACCCGUGGAUGAAGGCACACUUGAGGUGCGGGGGAACUUGUGUAAGGCUUCUUCAGCCUUCCUCUUUUUGAUAUCAUCAAGCUCUCUUUUCAGGGCCUUCCUGUGUUUUUCUGCCACCCUUGCUGUCUCGUCACUCUAGCAUGCUUCAUCUAUUAGUUCCGCAUAGUUCUUGGUCAACACAACGUGCCUCACGGCGUCCAUGGUUGCCUCUGGUCUCUCAUCAUGCACAGCCAAAACUGCAUUUGAUGUUUGUGGCCCCAACGCGUCGUCAGCGUCCCAAGUCCAUCGCCGCCAUAUGAAAUGGCGGGGCAAUCGUGUUACCGCGACCAUUUCCAUUACUUUCAGUAUGUGACAGCACACAAUCCCGUCCCGUUCGAAUUUGCAGCAUUGGCAGUAGUAUUCGCCUUCGUUUAUCGAGGCCUUCAUGAAGUAGUUCCUUCCCUUGUCCGGGUCCUCGGGUUCUGGAUCGGACAGGCCCAAGAGAGAACACACCUUGAAUGUAUGUUCGUCCACCUGGUAAGCUGUGUACACGCUGGCACGCUUUAUUUCUUCCUGGAAUCUGCAAGUUUUUGUGCUUUGUUAAACUCUUAUAUGAUUUUUGUAGCACCUUAUGUUGAGGUAGGUCGUAACAUAGCAAACGUAUCUAAAAUCAAUGAUGGCAUGGAAAUCCUGAUUUUUUUCCCACAUCUAUUCUUGUGUUGUUUGUUUCCACAUGGCAACUGCAUGAUAUUUCACAUGGCAAAUGCAUAACAUUUAAAUUGGCAAAUGCAGUUCAUUUAACAUGGCAAAUGCAGCUCAUAAACAUGGCAAACACAGCUUUGGGUCACAUGUCAACUACAUAUCAUUUCACAUGGCAACUACAGUUCAUUACACAUGGCAACUACAGUUCAACCCACGUGGCAACUAUAGUUGAUUCCACAUGGAUGCCAUUACAGAUCAUGCUUACAAUGUACUCAGUGGCUAUUUUUCAAUAGACCAGCAAGUCAAAAAAGUUGGCAACUGCAUUGCAUUCUACAUGGCACCUACUAUCUUCAUGCUUGUACAAAUUAGAUGGUAAAAUUAUUCACUUACUUGUUAAAAAUCUUGUUGGUAUAUAUCUUGCUCAUCUGCCUUUCCAUCGGUAAAUAUGUUAGCAAUUUAGGCUGCUUGAGCGCGGUGUUUGCUUCUUACUGUAGCUCAGAUCCCAGUAUUUUCUGUUGCAAAGCCGUGUAUUGCUUGGCAAACUACAGCAAUGAGUUGCCAGGGCUCACGUACCGCUUCAAAACAACAUUGAACCCCUCGCUGCGCUGAGUAGUCUGCAGAAAUGUGAAGAAGCACUGCAUGAAGUAGGCCGACACCAGUACAUUCGCUUCUCCCACAGGCUAGUAAGUGUCUCGUUGUCUUGAACUUGGUAUGUUUCAAUCAUAGCCGCCCAGCUCCGUUCAAACUCCUCCACCGUCAAGCUGUGGUCCACGCACAACUCGAAUGCCAUGUGUAGCUCUGGACGGUCAGCAAAGAAUGGUCCUAGCGUCUCCUCAGCCUUCUUAAUAAUAUGCCACCUGCAGUGCCUGUGCACUACCAACGGAAAGACCUCCUCUAUGCCUGUACGCAUGCUAAAAUCCUGGUAUGUUAUUAUGUUCAUCGGAGCAAGUCCACCCAUGCACUCCAAGAAGGUUUUGAACAGCCAAGUGUAACCAUCCGUAUCUUCGUUCCGAACGAGUCUGCUACCUCUUGAGCACUGCAUUGGUUUUCCCUUGAAGAGGAAAGGGUGAUGCAGCAAAGUAGCGUAAGUAUUUCCCUCAGUUUUUGAGAACCAAGGUAUCAAUCUAGUAGGAGGCUACGCGCGAGUCCCUCGCACCUACACAAACAAAUAAAUCCUCGCAACCAACGCGAUAAGGGGUUGUCAAUCCCUACACGGUCACUUAUGAGAGUGAGAUCUGAUAGAUAUGAUAGGAUAAUAUUUUUGGUAUUUUUAUGAUAAAGAUGCAAAGUAAAAUAAAAGCAAAGUAAAAAGCAAAGGAAAUAACUAAGUGUUGGAAGAUUAAUAUGAUGAAGAUAGACCCGGGGGCCAUAGGUUUCACUAGUGGCUUCUCUCAAGAGCAUAAGUAUUUUACAGUGGGUGAACAAAUUACUGUUGAGCAAUUGACAGAAUUGAGCAUAGUUAUGAGAAUAUCUAGGUAUGAUCAUGUAUAUAGGCAUCACGUCCGAGACAAGUAGACCGACUCCUGCCUACAUCUACUACUAUUACUCCAAUCAUCGACCGCUAUCCAGCAUGCAUCUAGAGUAUUAAGUUCAUGAAAACAGAAUAACGCCUUAAGCAAGAUGACAUGAUGUAGAGGGAUAAAUUCAUGCAAUAUUAUAAAAACCCCAUCUUGUUAUCCUCGAUGGCAACAAUACAAUACGUGCCUUGCUGCCCCUACUGUCACUGGGAAAGGACACCGCAAGAUUGAACCCAAAGCUAAGCACUUCUCCCAUUGCAAGAAAGAUCAAUCUAGUAGGCCAAACCAAACUGAUAAUUCGAAGAGACUUGCAAAGAUAACCAAUCAUACAUAAAAGAAUUCGGAAGAUUCAAAUAUUGUUCAUAGAUAAACUUGAUCUUAAACCCACAAUUCAUCGGUCUCAACAAACACACCGCAAAAGAAGAUUACAUAGAUUAGAUCUCCAUGAGAGAGUGGGAGAACAUUGUAUUGAGAUCCAAAAAGAGAGAGAAAGCCAUCUAGCUAAUAACUAUGGACCCGAAGGUCUAAGGUAAACUACUCACACAUCAUCGGAGGGGCUAUGGUGUUGAUGUAGAAGCCCACCGUGAUCGAUGCCCCCUCUGGCGGAGCUCUGGAACAGGCCCCAAGAUGGGAUCUCGUGGGUACAGAUGGUUGCGGCGGUGGAAUUAGGUUUUUGGCUCCGUUUCUGAUCGUUUGGGGUACGUAGGUAUAUAUAGGAGGAAGGAGUACAUCGGUGGAGCAACAUGGGGCCCACGAGGGUGGAGGGCACGCCUGGGGGGGGGGGGGGUAGGCGCCCCCCUACCUCGUGGCCUCCUCUUUUAUUUCUUGACGUAGGGUCCAAGUCUCCUGGAUCUUGUUCGUUCCAAAAAUCACGUUCCCGAAGGUUUCAUUCCGUUUGGACUCCGUUUGAUAUUCUUUUUAUGCGAAACUCUGAAAUAGGCAAAAAACAGCAAUUCUGGGCUGGGCCUCCGGUUAAUAGGUUAGUCCCAAAAAUAAUAUAAGAGUGAAUAAUAAAGCCCAAUAAUGUCCAAAAAAGAAGAUAAUAUAGCAUGGAGCAAUCAAAAAUUAUAGAUACGUUGGAGACGUAUCAGAGUCCGCAACUGAACUGGAAUGACUGAUUGUGGUUAUUUAUUCCUAUGAAUCGAGCGCAGGACAUCUUGUACAUAUUAGUGAGAUAUGUCGCGUCGAAUGAAAUGCAAUCACGGAAAUUUUUGUAGGCUCUUCUUGCAGCACCAUCCACCCAAUACAUGUUUCUGACAUGGUCCUCAUCGUCCAAUGUUAUCCUAUAGAAGAAAUCAGCAUCUGCUUUUGCUUUCUCUUUGAAGUAGGCUAUCAUGUCUUCUAUGUCAGCCAACCUGGUCUCUCUACGGUACUUUUCCUUUAGGUUUGUGACGUCUGCUGGUAUGUAGGGCAUGCUACUUAGAGUUCCAUUUUUGCUGUGGAUCAUGGACAGUAUCUGGACCAUUCUUGAUGGACCGACGUUACAAUCAUGUAGCAGCUUUAUGAAUUUCUUCUUGAGGGGGGUGAAUCCUCUGUGGGCGCUCAGAAAUUUUACGAGAUCAAACUUCUUUAUGAGUUCAUGGUUGUGUUCGUCAAAAUAUUCGGUGACCACCCACCAUGCUCCAUUCGCGUUUAGCUUACACCGGACAGGGCAUUCUGUCUUGACAAUGAUGCCUCUCUUUCGUUCCGGCACGACAUGAGCAACACCUUUACCCUUCUUGUUCCUUCGUGCCUUGUAGCACCUUAUCUCACCUCUGCUUUACUCAUUAGUUUUUUUAUUUUCCUAUGGUAUUCGGUGUUCACCGCAAACCCAUGGAACAUUGCAUAUCUCUGGUAGAAUUCCUUGGCAUCUUCAAACGAACCAAAUCUCUGCCCAACAUACGGUGGUUGAGGUACCAUGACUUCUGAUUGCCCAUCUUCUUCAUCCCCUUGUGCUUCGUCAUCAGUUUCAUCAUUCACUUCAGUAUCGGCGGCUGUUUCAUCUGCUUGAGUGUUUCUUGUGCUGGUGUGCAAAGGUGUGCUUGUCGGCAUUGCUGGAACGAUUGCCAUUUCCGACACUGAUUCUGCAUUGUUUGUGGAAGGAUUGUUGACUGGCUGCUGGAAUGCUUCUUCCGUGUGCUCAGAGGUUCCCGCAGUAGAUGUCCCCGCGCCGCUGUUGAUUGUAGUUGAAGGUCCUGCAAAAAAACAGGUGCGUGUGUAAGCAUUGCUUCAAUGGCAGGUUUAUCGUAACGGAAUAUAGCAACUGCAUCUGAUUUGGCAUGACAUCAUUCAUACAGCAAAUCAUGGCAUUUGCUUGUGGCCAUGCAUGGCAACUGUAGUCUUUCAGCCAUGGCAGCUACAGUCCAACAAACAUGGCAGUUACUGUUGCCAAGGCAUGGCAACCAGCAUCUUUAGCAUCAAACUUGGAUUCUAGGUACGAGCUCACUAGGCAAAUGGAGUCAAUCACGAAUGUUGCACACAUGCAUACAACAAUUGACAAAUCCUGAAGACAAUAGAUGACUAUUUGCACGUGUCCACUUGGUAGCAUUUUUGUUGUUUUUCCGCCACCACCGUGACAAAUCCACUUCCCCCCCAUGCUUUUCCACAAAAGCAAAUGCACUACUGUUUUGCUGGUUCACAUAUUUUUACCUUGUUGUGCCGCAUGUGCUAAUCGUAGCUGGUCUGUCAUUCCAAUUUGUUGUGCUCUAUCUGCAAUAGCGUUGGCCUGCAACUGUGAAGCUUGCCACGAUAUGUUUGCUAAUGUGGUUCCACCAUAACAACCUGCGAUCAUUUAGCAGUUGGUUAAUGCAUGGCAACUGUAGUUUGUACAACAUGACACAUGUAGUGGUUCAACCAUGGCACACAGAUUUGUUCACACUUGUCAUCCACAGUUGUUUAGACAUUGCAAUCACAUUUGAUUAUACAUGGCAACUGCAAUGGAUUUGACAUGGCAACUGCAGUUGUCCAGGCAUGGCAACUGUAGUUGUCCAGACACGGCAACUGCGUUUUGUCGAGUCACCAUGUAAACACCAAUGUCACCUAUGUUCCUUCUCCUGAUUCACUGUCCACAAAAUCACUUCAUACGACUCACCUGUGUACGACGUUGAUGGCAGGUACAUGGUUGCCGCUUGUUGCCAUGUGCUGCAUGAAGGUCCUGCGUUUUUCCAUAAAACUCGUAAGUCUUUGCCAUCCUUGCAUGUUUAAUUUCAUGGCCACACCAGUAUGUUUCUUUUUGUACACGUUACCUUGAUUUGCCACAUUGGCUACUUGAAGUUGGUCGCCCGUACAUCUGUCAACGUUAGCGCCCUAUGCCUGAACUUGCCAUGGUAUCCCCGUGUGUGUGGUUGGGUCAUAAGAACUUGCGAAAAAUGACAUUGUAGGACAUAAGUAGAAUGCCAUUUUCCUCGUCACAAACAUGUCAACUGCCCCUUUCUUUGAUCAUGCAUCGUACCGAUGCUCGCGUAUUGCUCUAGUAGUGGCAGCAACGGCCCUGUGGGAAUGAGUUGAUUGUACUCUGCUGCAUCCCAAAGGGGCGUUUCCGGCCGUUGAGAAAACCAAGGACCAGUGCCGUUUUCAUGAUUCAUUUUUCCGCUUUUUUCUACCACUGUGUUUUCAGUCAUUGCACGAACAAGAACGCAUGAAUAUCCGAAAAUGCACACUUUCUGUUUUGCACAUACAAGAAAACACGGCAAUCUUAUCACAUUUUCUUGCAAACACAACCAAUACAUCAUGGCAAGUAGGACAUGCACAUCCAUUCUCUUUUCUAAAAUCUGGAUGCCAACUAUCAUUUUGAACAGAUGGCAACAUCCAAGAUAAUAUGAUGGCAAGUAACAACGUAACAUGGUGGCAGCUAACGGCAAAGAUAGGUGGCAACUAACGUCAGAUAUAGGUGGCAAUUAUUUUUUCCCUCCGUAUGCACCACCCAAAUUCCUCCUUUCUUCCCCUAAUUUUAGUAAAUCCUACACAUUCUUCUGGAGCAACUACUUGCAACAACCCAACCCAGAAGCUUAGUUCAACCCUAGGAUACAAUAUGGCAGAUCUGGCGUAAGUUGGUGGGCAAAGGGGAAUACACACAAAUCUGUGGUGUGUUUGCCAUGGCAGCAUGGAUCUAGUCGCCAUCCUCGUAGGCAAUCUACAAUUUCAAUUUUCUGGACAGAAGAAGGACGAGAAACAGGAGGAGAUCGGAGAUUGACCUGUNNNNNNNNNNNNNNNNNNNNNNNNNNNNNNNNNNNNNNNNNNNNNNNNNNNNNNNNNNNNNNNNNNNNNNNNNNNNNNNNNNNNNNNNNNNNNNNNNNNNNNNNNNNNNNNNNNNNNNNNNNNNNNNNNNNNNNNNNNNNNNNNNNNNNNNNNNNNNNNNNNNNNNNNNNNNNNNNNNNNNNNNNNNNNNNNNNNNNNNNNNNNNNNNNNNNNNNNNNNNNNNNNNNNNNNNNNNNNNNNNNNNNNNNNNNNNNNNNNNNNNNNNNNNNNNNNNNNNNNNNNNNNNNNNNNNNNNNNNNNNNNNNNNNNNNNNNNNNNNNNNNNNNNNNNNNNNNNNNNNNNNNNNNNNNNNNNNNNNNNNNNNNNNNNNNNNNNNNNNNNNNNNNNNNNNNNNNNNNNNNNNNNNNNNNNNNNNNNNNNNNNNNNNNNNNNNNNNNNNNNNNNNNNNNNNNNNNNNNNNNNNNNNNNNNNNNNNNNNNNNNNNNNNNNNNNNCAUGGCAACUGCAGAAGGAAGACGAUGGAGGUAGGGGAUCGAGGGGUAGGAGACGACGGCGGUAGGUCAGAGUGGGGUUCGAAGGCAGGCCGAGACGACGGGCGCGUUAGGUCGUGCGGGCAGCGCGGUCGAUUGCCUGGGCGUGUGGGCGAUUGUGCCACACACCGGACGUGCGGGCUGUGGCUGCCUGCGCCCAGACGCCGUCGUGCAGCGGGGUCAUCUCCGUGCCACACAAGGCGUGCGGCACAACCCCGCUAGAUGCCACACGUGUGGCAGUUAUCGUCGUCCAAAAACUAAGGAGGAGGUAGCUUAUUUUUUAAACGGCCAAAAAAACUGGCCCUUAAUCCGCUUGGGAUAGGCGAGGUCAGUUGACCGAAAACUGUUUUGGUGUCAGAAGGCCAGUUGAUUUGUUUUCGGUCGUCGGAUGCAAAACCAAGCCCAGAUGCCUUCCAUCUUCAUCUUUUUACCCAAGCCGCCCCACAGACCACCGGCUGAAUCGCACAACCGCAGGCAGCGCUUCUGCACCAGCCUUGUCGCCCCGCCUUCCCCCCACUGUCGUGUUGGCGCCGCCCCCAGCCAUCCCUCUAAAUCGGCGAACCACCAGAAUUUCUCGACGAGCCCUGCACCCCCACCACGAACCAUCAUACUCACCUAGAGCUCAUUCCUGGCCAAGGCCUUGCCGGUGUCCUCGGGCCUCGAUGUCGCUCGCCCCAACACAUAUUUAUUGGCAUACAUCUGGAGACGCACAUCUCAGUGCGCGCAUCCGAGCGCGUCUAUAUUUUUCUAUUUCGGGUUUUCUGUCCACAGAUUUUUUUUCUUGCGUUGUAGGUUUUACUAUCUUCCCACAUAACCAACCCGGGUGGAUAAUGUGUGUUUUAUUUCGUCUUCAUCCCAGAGAUGUUGUUUGAGGGAGAGAGAUGGAGAUGAUGGGGGAAGCUGAGUAGCGGGACAGAUGGAGCGGUCGGCGAGGCAGGCAGAGUGGCUUACCGGUGGGACAAAUGGAUUGACCGGAAAUACGGGCGGAGUGGCUGCCCGGCGGGUGUGUAGACCGGCCGAUGAGGUGGGUAGACCGACCGGCGAGAUAGGUGGAGUAGUCGUGUUAGCGAGGUAGUCUCCACAUGAACUUAUUUCCUAGAAAGCCGGUUUUGAUUUGUUGGUAGGUGUUGUGGGCAACAUAGUAGAAAAAAAUGUCUUACGAAUCCAGGGUCACAAACAAACGCGACCGAUAUAAGAGGUCAGUGAAGAAGUUGCUAGUGAUUUCCAUCUCUAGAUUAAACCUCCCAAUUGCAAGAAUUUUUCUCCUCCUGAUCUAGAAUCAAAGGGAUGAUCCUUCUAUCGGUAUCCAUGAAUACAAGAUCACAUAUCAAGCAGGAGUUCACCUUCUAGAACGAAAGCCUACGAGAGCACUAUAUGUAUGGUGGAGCAGCCUUAUGGCUGAGAUAAUUUUCCAGAGAGAGAGAGAGAGAGAGAUGGUGCAUCCAACAAACACGUGUAUUGGGGGGCUGCCCCUCCCCUCUUUUAUAGAGGGUCGAGAGGGAUGCGGCUUCGGGAGAAGGUAGGCCCAGGGCUGGUCGCACCAAGGGUGAAGGAUCCCGCUUCCUUCCCCAAGUGCACCACAAUUGGGAAAGAAUCCGAAGGAUGCCUCCCUUCCUUUACAUGCACACGUAAUGCCUUGCCCAUCAACCAAAUGAGGGGGCACCACACUAAUGGGCCCCUUGGCCAAGUGGGCAGCUUUCUUGGAUGUUCUGGAAUGUUCUAGAACCUUUCAGAGCCUUCCAUGGCACUCCGGGACUUUCUUAGUUUUUCGGAAUGUUUUCGGUUUUCACCGAAACAUUUCCGGUUUUCUCCCCGAACAUUUUCAAUAGUUUUGGAAUCCCCACCUCACUCGAAAGUUGGGUGGAUGAUUUUCACAUAUGUAAUUAUGUUUAGGUUAUAUGGUUCUAUUCAUUUUUUAAUCUGUGUACAAUUGCUAUGAGUGGAAAUAAUUUUGGAGCAGGGAUAAUUCAAAAUUUCAUGGCCGCCUCUUUCUCGGCUCAGCAGCAUGAGGCUUGGAGUGUGCUUCUCGAGAGUUGAACCCACAACCACUUUGUACAGGACUUGUGAAGACUCGGUUUUAGGUGUUCUGACCAUGCAUCUGGGUUGUGUUACUAUAUAUAGUAUGGCUGCCAAACAUAUCAGUGUACCCAUGAAAGUGAUAGAUAUAUAUUACACCAACAUGUGUGUGCUUAUGGCAGUGUUCAUCAUGUUUUCCAUAUGUAUCUAAGGUUUGGUUGAACUAUGAAUGUGUAUGCAAACAUCUAUGGACCCUACGGGGAAUAUAUAUGGUGAUUAGUACUCUCUCCGUCCCAUAUUAACUGUCGCUUGAACGGAUGUAUCUUGCCGUCAGUAGUAAAGAACAAAUUGAUUUACCAGUUGUCAAAGAUGGAAGCAGAAAUAUUGUCUACAUGGGAAGAUCGGCUGCUCGAAAAGAAUAUGCAAACUUCAUAGAAGACCCGAGGGAAACAAUAAUACACUAUCAUAGUACUGAAUAUAUUGCACAAUUUCAGAAUAACAAUGCAAUCUGAGGUGACUGAGGUUUAGGAAAAUAUCAGACUUAACUAAUUUAUUAGAACUUCGAAGAUGAUAAAUUCCGAACGUUCAGAUAUUGGCCAUGGCAUAUUGAACGUUUUUAUGACAACUUCAGUUGACGUGAGGACGACAAGUUUGGUAAGCACGACAAUUUCCUGGCAAAAAACAAACCGAGGACAUAACGUCUGUUGCCGGAUAUCCUAAAAUAAAUUCAAGAUAAAUGCAAGCACUAAGACUUGAACCUUGAUGGGAUCGGGAUACCACUGUCCACCUAACCAUCCAACCAUAGGUUGGUUCGCAUGUGUUCCAUCUGUUUAAAAUGUAUCAAACCAAUCAUCCAGAUCUGCCAAAUAUGUAGAUAUGUUCAGGCUGUAGUUUCUUUCAAUCAUCAAGAACUCUAUCGUGGGCUCAUACCUGGGCAUACUGGAGGCCCAUUGCCAUACUAAAUAAGGCCACUGAGGCACUAACAUGUAUAAAAAAAAUGAAAUGACUACUAAGUACUUCCUAGAAGGGUUUCUUGUGCCGCCGUCGCCAUCUGAGAAAUUUAGGUCCCCUCGCCUCCGGCCGCCAUCUUGGCGCUGAGAGGUGGGGGGACCUUGGGUCUUCAAGAUCUCUAUGUUCUUCAUCAAUGUUUAGUGAUCAUCAUAGUUUUGUAAAAAUAAAUUUCCUCUCAUUCAUUUGGCGGUGCCAUGAGGUUAGAGAGUUUUCUGUCCUCGCAGAUCCGAUUAUUCGGAUCUGACGAGUUUAUGUUACUGUGUCAAGCUUUUUUUGUUGGUCUGAUUCUUUGUGGAGGUGAAAGCAUCGACACCAUGGUGAAGUUAUAGUGAUUCGACGGCCUGCACUUCUAGGGGAUCAUCCCGGCCCAAGUACAUUCAUCGAUCAAGGUUUCUCAUCUUUUUGGAUGGGCGACUCAAGACGUUUUCAAAAACCAUUAUUGGUAAUGUUCAUGCGCGUGAAAGAGUGACAACAUCGUUGCUCCAGCCCAAUUGCACUCUUUGCUGAAGUCUUUGGAGUAUUUUUUUCGAGCCAAGAAGGUGUUUUCAAAAGAUUUCACUGUAAUUCAUAGUCAUAUGAGUUACUUUGUAUUUUCUUGAAUCUCAGAUCCAAAUCAGUGUACCUGUAAUUGUUGUGAGUAUGACUAAAGUUAUAGGUGUUUUUCAAAAAGAAAACUAAGUACUUCCUUCGCUUUUUUAACUUUGCAUAUAAGAUUUGUCUUAAGUUAAACAUCAUGAAGUUUUACAUAAUUUUAUAUCCUAAAAUACUAGAGAUAUACGAUGUGAAAGUUAAUUCAAUAAUUUUAUAUCCUAAAAUACUAGAUAUAGGGAAAAUCCAUCCUACCACCCGGUGGUAGUUACCCCACAUGUCUCAUAUACUAUCAUGUGAUACUAUAUAUACUAUUCUAUUAUUUUAAAUAUGUUCAUAUACUAUAUCUAAGAUAUUUUAAAGCAAGUUACAUGAAAAAAUUGUAUAUGAGCCUAUAGUUUUUGUUAUAUUUGUGAAAUACAUACAUAUUUGUACAUAAAAAAGAGCAUACUCAAAAAAUGGUACAUACUACCUAAAAUUUAGUAUAUAUAUACUAGCUAAUCAUUGUUAUAUACUACAUACUACACGUACAUACUCUCGGUUUCGACAGAUACUACAUACAGCAUACAAAACGCAAGUGGUGGUAACUACCACUGCUUGAACAAUAGAUUCAUACUACUGCUUAUGGAUACUCUUCCUCAAAAUAAACCAGACAAAUGGCAUUGAAAUUCAUCAAUACAUGCAUGCGACCAUUCACUGAUUUAACUUUUUUCAUCCUCUUGUUUGGAUAGUGCCUUGCUUUUCCCGAAUUUCCUGGACAGGAGCAAUAGCAGGUUGGGGCUGGAGCCACACGAAGCUUCCACAACGCAACAACUUCAUUAACUUGGCCUCGCCAUGGACAAGGCUACACCUGAACAAACUGUCCAUAAAGACGAAAUAGGCGCACCCGCCCUCGAUGCUCAGUUGCGCAGCGUCAACGGCGAAGCUGCCCCGGGAACCGAGGAACAAGAUGUGGUCGUCCAAGCUACAGGCGUCCCUCACCGCCCAUAUCAUCUCGCCGCCCGCUCCUUCCAGGGUGUGCACCGCCACUGAUAAUGCCGGCGGCCAUCUGCCAUGCAGGUGGUGACGAUGGUACCAAUCACUCUCGAUGAGGACGGACGCUCGCAACAGCUCACCGUGGGACUCGAGAACAUAGCUGCACAUGCGGUAAUACCGUCUGUCCUGGGCUUUACAACAUGCCGUUUUAGGCUCGAGCUCGCGGACGGCGGUGUACUGGUCGCCAGUGGCUCGGAAGUCCAGGACGAUGCAGGAUCCGUCCACGAUUUCACAUGCCAAGACCUUGCCGUCGUGAUAUGCUGCGGAACAAUAAUAGUAUGUCAACCUGUUCAGUCUCUUUUCCACGACCGCCCAUGCCGCCUCGCCGGGACGUAGGACGGCCGCCGUGAAGAUUGCCCCACACCCCUUCUCACAGCUGUAUAGAAACACGGUGCUGUCGCCAUAGACAACGCCGUGGGGAUUGCUCAUCCGCUUGAUCACAUCGCCGUCAAUAUCAUCGGGGAAGGAGUAAAUAGCAUAAAACUACCACUUUUCAUCCUAUGGUUCCAAAAAAUCACCACUUUUUUGUUUGUGACUGAUACCUACCACUUUUCUAGUCGGCUGUCUCAAAAAACCCAAAUCGCCCGUUGCUAGCGUUUUAAACCGUUUUCUGACGGUCCGGGCCCGCCUGUCAGGCCACGUCAGCGCCGCGCGUGACGGCGAGGCCGUUAACGGCCGUUAUUCGGACCGACCGGUGCGGUCGGACCGCACCCGCUCGCUCGCUGCCGUUCUCUCUCUGUCGGCAGCAUCUCUCUCUCGCUCCUCCUUUCCCCCUGUGCUCUCUGUCUCCCCCGACGAUGGCGGCGGCGAAGAAGAAGGACGACGGCGAGCCUGGGCCGACAGCCAGCGGCGAGGGCGGUGCUCACUCCGAGGUCAACAAGUGGCUAGGCAGCGCAAGUUUCCCGACCCAGCGCUCGUCUGGGCCACCGACGCAGGAGGUCCAGAUGUCGCCGGCGUUCCGCGCGGCCAGGGCAGUGGCCAAAUGCAUCCACGCGGAUCCAGAAGGCGGGCACCAGUGGGCCUCCUCACUUGGUGGCGUGGAGUAAGUUAUGAAUUGUUUUAAUUAUUUUUCUUAGUUUAUUUAUGAACUAGGGUUAGGAUUUGUUUAUUAUAUUGUUAAUGAAUUAGUUUCUUUGGUAUAUUAUUAUGUAUACAUUGUACUCAAUAUAUGAAUUAGGGUUUAGGUUUGGAUGAUAUGUUGUGCAAGUGAAACUGUUGCAUACUUUUUAACUUCAAAAUCUGAAGAAAUCUGAAUGUGUUGUUUCUUUUUUUUUGCAUAGUUUGGAUGAUGAAGUAUGGGAAUUGAGGCUGCAUUUUCAGGGUAGAGACAACAUGGAAAGGAAGUUUUCCUUAUCAGAAAUGAAUUACCUAUUUUUGUUAGCACUUAUUGAACUUGAGGGCUAUGGGUUGGAUGCCUAUCUGUCAUAUGUUAAGGAUGAGGGUAAGGGGCUGGAGGGGAUUGAGGUUUGGGACAGUGAUGAGAAGGUGGAGGAGAUGCUAGAUUUGUUUGCUGAGAAGAAAGUAUUGAACAUAACAGUGAGAGAGGCUAGUGACCCAAAUCCAGCAGAUGCAAACAUGGACCACACCUUGCUUGAAGAGCAGAUUCCACUGAGUCAAGUUGGUGAUCCCAUUGUUUAUAGUGUUUCCCAAGAAGGUGUCCUUUACCCUGUCUCAAAUUCUUCACAGCCUCCAGUUGUGCCUGUUGAUCCAUAUUUUAACACACAGCAGAGUUGUAAUUUCAACAAGGGAAAAGAGGCAGUUGAAAUUGAAGGCAUUGAAGCAGAAGAUGAAGAUCAAGAUGAAGACGAGUUGGACAAAUCCUCUUUAGAUUUUGAGUUUUUCAGGGGUGAUUACAGAGGGAAGAAAAUUUCAUACAAGUCUUGGGCUAGGGGAGAAGAUGAAGGUGGUGAAGGAACAAGUCAGCACUACAGGGAAGAGGAAGAGAUGGCUGAGCAUUAUUUUGGGGGUGCUUCUGAACCCUCAGAGUUUUGGCAGGAGCCAAAUGGUUCUGAAGAAGAUGAUGAAGAAGAAGCUUCAGAUCAUGUGAAAACUGUGGCACAGAAGAUACCUGUGAGGAAACAAGGCCCAACAAGCAGAUCACACAGUGAGCCAGAUCACAAAAAGUUUGAAGAUUUCGUGCCAGAAGCUGAUGAGUUCUGCUUUCCAGGUGACGAAGGCAUUUCUGAUGAAGAAGAUGAUGCACCUAGGUUGCCUUGUGGCAGCAAGAGAAAAUUGAAGAAGAAGAAGGAGAGAAUAUGGUAUGAUUCCUCUAGGCCUGAUGCACAUGAACAGUUUAGGAUUCAUUUGUGCUUUCUGAAUGUGGUAGAGUUCAGAGAAGCAUUGAGAAACUACCAUGUUAGGACACUUAGGAACUUUGAGUACCAUAGGAAUGAUCCAAGUAGGAUCAUAGCCUGGUGCUCAGAUAGAAAGCAUGGUUGUGAGUUUUAUAUUACUGCUUCUAAGAUUGCCCAUGAGUCAACCUUUAGCAUCAAGAAGAUGAAUCUUGAUCACACCUGUGGAGCAAGUGGAGAGAACACAAAGGUUACCAUGAAGUGGGUUGCAAAGGCUGUUGAGGAUACUGUAAGAUCCAAUCCUGGUGCAGGUGUUGAGACUAUACUGAGUUAUACAAAAAAGAAAUUUGGAGUACAUGUUCCAAAAAGUUUGGCCUACAGGGCAAGGAGGAAAGCAGUUGAUGUUGUGAAAGGGGAUCACAAGACACAAUACUACAGGUUAAGAGACUAUCUGCAGUGUGUUUUGGACACAAACCCUGGUAGUAGGUGUGUUGUGACAACAAAGGAAUUUGAACUUCACCCAGCACCUACCCCAAGGUUUCAUUACAUGUUUUAUUGUCUGUUUUCUUGUAAGGAGGGGUUCCUAAAUGGUUGCAGGCCUUUCAUAGGUAAAUCUAGUCUGUAUAGUGCUUAAAAGGGAUUGCAUUACAUGUUGCUGCUUACUAAUGGCUUAAAAUGCAGGUCUUGAUGGAUGCUUCAUCAAACUAAGCACUGGGCAGCAAAUCCUGGCAGCAACAGGGAGGGAUGGCAACAACAACAUCUUCCCUAUUGCAUUUGGUGUUGUUGACAAGGAGGAGACAGAUAGUUGGACUUGGUUUCUUACACAGUUAAGGACAGUAAUUGGUAGUGGCAACAAGUUUGGGCCCUACACAAUUAUGUCAGACAGGCAAAAGGUACAACUACUCUUCAUGAUUUGACUGCUUUUCCUUUCACUAUGUACUGCUUUUCCUUGCACUAUGUACUGCUUUUCCUUUCUCUACUUACUUCACUAGUUAUUAAUACAAAAUCAAUGAACAGGGUCUUCUCAAUGCAAUAGAGGAUGUAUUUCCUGAUUCCCCUCAAAGAUUUUGUUUAAGACACAUAUAUGCCAACUUCCAAUCAGCUGGGUUUAGAGGGGAUGAAUUGAAAAAACAUCUAGACCAGGCUGCAUAUUCUUUCACUAAGCAUGGGCAUGAUCUAGGCAUGGAAGCAUUGAAGAAAGAGAGUGAGGAGGCAUGGAAGUGGUUGUCCAACAUACCAGUCCAUACUUGGGCCAGGCAUAGAAUGGAUAUUAUAUGCAAGACAGACCUUGUUGUAAACAAUCUUAGUGAAGUUUUCAACAGGAUUAUUCUGGAUGUUAGGAACAAGCCCAUAAGGACAAUGCUUGAAGGAAUUAGGACAAAACUCAUGAUCAAGUUUCAGAAGAUUAGGGAGAAGACAGAGACAUGUAGGUGGGAUAUCACAUCCACUUACUCUGAGAUAUUGGAGGAGGCCAAGAAGUGGGCAAAAUAUUGUGAUGCAUAUAUGGCUGGACCAGGAAUUUGGCAAGUUACAAGUAGUUCAGAAAAGACCUACUGUGUAAACCUAAACAACUACACUUGUGACUGCAGGAGGUGGGAUAUGGCAGCUGUUCCAUGUAGUCAUGCUAUAGCAGCAAUGCAGAAGGUGAAGCUACACCUUGAAGAUUUUGUCCAUGAGUUCUUCAAGAAGCCCCUCUACUGUGAAACCUACAAGCAUAUUAUAUACCCUGUUCCAGGCCCUGAUUGUUGGCCACACACCAUGGGGGAUGACAUAUCUCCUCCAGUAUUCAAAGAAAAGAAGGGUAAAAAGCAGACAGCUAGGAGGAAAGGACAUUUUGAGGUGCCUGCCAAGAAGGAUACAUCAAGAAUUGGGACAGUGACCUGUAGCAAUUGCAAUGCAAGGUCACAGAUAUACCACUUGUGGUGUUCCACUGAAACCCAAACUGCAGAUGAGAAAGAAUAAUCACCAGGUAUACUUAUUGAUAAAGAAACUUCUGUUUCAUAGGCUAGGUGGUUUAAUUAUAAUUUGCUUUGUUAAAUGUGCAGGAGAAUAGGUCAGACUACUCUUCAUCUACCAGAGCUUCUACAGGUGUGGUUGCACCCCACCCCCACCCUCACCACCACCAUCAGCACCAUCAGCACCAGCCAUAGCUAGGAAGAGGCCUGCAACAGCCACAAUUACUCCAGGACCAGCAAAGAGGAACAAGGGAGCUGCUUCUGCUACUCCAGCACCUGCCACAUCAGCACCUGCCAAGAAGACCAAAGAAACCAAGAAGACCAAAGCAACCAAGAAGACAGGGGCUCCUAGCACAUCUUCACCAGCCAAGAACACAAGGUCAUCCAUUGCUUCUCCAGCAAAGAACACCAGAGCAUCAACAGCUAGCAGAGGGUACACAGUUUUCAAUGCUCCAAGGCAAGCUGCCAACUCUAAGAUGGAGAUUGGGUCCAAGAGGGUUAGGAAGCCAACUAGAAAGUGAAAGGCAUAUUUCACAGCUAGUGGUAACUACUGAAGAUUCCAACAUUUGAGAAAGUUGUCUUGUUGUAUGAGUGCUGAAACCUAAGUGUUUGCAACCUUAAACCUAUGUAUUUGCUUGCUGAAACUUGAGUGUUAGCAUUAUGAAACCUAUGUAUUUGCUUCCUGAAACCUAAGUGUUUGCAUUAUGAAACCUGAGUGUUUGUGACUUCUGGGUAGAUUUUCAGACAACACUGAUGCAAACAUUGAUUCAUUUAUUCAAACAUUCAUAGAUUCCACCAUCCAAACUUUCUUUCAUACAAAGAGUUGUACAGAAAUGGAAGGGAUACAUAGCUCAGACUCUCAUUCAUACUUAAAAAAACUACUUCCAACAACUCUCAAUCGUAACGAUCGAAGAAACGACACCACUUUGCUCUGGUAGAAGGGUGAGGAGCGAGUACUGCCUGUCUCCUAGCCCACCUGAUGAUCUUCCCUGAGCUCUUGCGCCUGCCGCCAGGGACAAGAACUGUGAACUCAUCUGAGUUGCACUUCUCCAAGAUCUUCUCUGCCAGCCUCCUCUUGAACUCCAGCUCCCAUUCCACUGCCUGCACUACAGGGCGAGCCCUUUGCCUCCUCACAUCCACUGCCUGCACUGCCUCCUCUUCCUCAUCUGUCACCUCCCCAAGCUCUGGAUCCAUCUAGGGUUUCUAGAGGUGGUGUGUGGCGGCUGUGUUCUGGAGGGAGGAGGGUGGGUGGAGUAGGCUAUUUAUGAGCAGUGGAGGGUGGGUGGAGUAGGCCUAGGUUUGUAAAUAUAACUGGGCCACAAAGCCCAGGUACAAAGCACUAAUAAACAUAACUACCUUUUAAACAUAAAAAGACACAUAGCAUACUCCAGCAGUGCUUAUCACUGACUCCAUAACAUAGCAGAAGAGGUUCACCUUUUAAACAUAAAAAGACACAUAGCAUACUCCAGCAGUGCUUAUCACUGACUCCAUAACAUAGCAGAAGAGGUUCAAAUACAGGCAGAACAGUCAUUACAACUUAGUUCAUAACUUAGCAUUAAAGGUUCUAGCAGCAUAACUACAGUUCUUAACAUUGGCAUAGAUAGACUAGAUUAGCUUCACAUUCCCCAAAAUGUACACCCCAUAUCUUCACAUCAGAUUGAAGGGGAACGCGACAGAAAACAAAAAUUUUCCGACCUACGCACCAGCCCAGGACCACUAUGGAGACUGCAUACAUGGUUUGAUCUUUUUCGUUACCGACUCGUAGCGCAGCGGGAAGUAGAGUCGAUGACGAUCGGCAAUGCAGAUCCCCGCAGCUAGGAUUUACAACCUCCCAACCGCGAGGAUGUAUACCCUCAUCUGCUCCUCAGACAGCCCUCCGGGAGGCGGUCGAACAGCCCCCCGGACGGUGUCGUGGGCAGCCCUUCGGGAGGACCUUCGAAACUCGAACGGUCACUCGGACAGCCCUUUGGGAGGACCUUCGAAACUCGGACGGUCACACGGACAGCCCUUCGGGAGGCACUCAUGAACUAAGACCGAAACUACGAUCUCUCUACAGAGUUGCACACAUACGGUGUCAUCUAUCCGGCAGGGCUUCGCCGUCCAGAACUAGUUCCUGCCGGAACCCAGACAGCCUUACGGCUCUACGAAACUCUUUUCGUGGGAGGGAGAGAAGAGGCCAGAUAAUGCAUGGCAUGUGUAUGAGAGCAAGGGAUGAGUGUGGAGGGCUGCCCCUCCACCUCUAUUUAUAGGAAAUCCCAAGGGGGUAGGGUAGUUUCACAAAAAACCCAAAAUGCACAUGAAUGAAGUCCUUCCACAAGGACCUAGGAGUGAAACCAAGGAACAAGAGGGUCCCCAAGGGGGGAUACCCCAUGUGGCCGGCCACACCCCCAUGAGGGGCCCAAAAAAUGGCUCAUAUCCAUCCAUGUCAUCCCCAAGAUCUUUUGGAGCAAAGCCCCAAAAGGUGGCUUUCCAUAAAGUAACCAUAAAGCUGAUUUUCACUAUUCACGACGACAUUUUUCAGCGUCUGAUCGAACUGAAAAUAUUUAUGUGGGCUAAGAACAUUUCCAGUACCCACUAAAAUGAUUUUCAACGCGUUCCGAAACAAUUCCGGUUUUAGUGAUUUUCAUCUGCGAAACGCAUCUGAAGUGGCUCCGGCAGCUCCGGAACAUUUCUGGUUUUUAUCUCAGAAAAUUCCAAAAAGCUUCCAGAAUGAUUCUGGCAUCCUCCAAGAAUUAUCAGGCAUGUGCCGAAACCAAUUUGACUUAAUGGUGUAUCCCGAAACAACUUUUCGGUAUCAUCGAAACUUAUCCGAUGACCUCUCUCUGCGGUACGAUUCCGCUGUCCGAAACUUUUCGGUGUCCGAAACUUUUUCGGUGAUUUUCUCUCAGACUCCCUGUCUAGUAUUCAGCAGAUAGAUGACCCUUAAGCGUGUGACCCUAUAGGUUCGGUGAAGUAUAGACAUGACCCGGAACCCCUUCCGAUCAAUGAUCAACAUCGGAGCCGUGGACACCCAUAUUGACCCCUAUACCCACACGAAUAAAUAUUCGAGUGAACCUCCAGUUGCCGUGUGCUAUUCCUGUUGCUUCGCGAUAUGUUACAAAUACCCGAGGUGAGGCAUGUUGGCAUUCCCGUGGAUCAACAACUUGUCCACUAUGCUAGUUACCUCGUUACCGGUUUUGUUCUCUUUUCUCGUUUUGUGUUCCGGCAUCCCCGUGAUUAAAUCACAAAGUGUCUGGCCAGACGAUGAUGGACACCGUAACACCGAGAGGGCCCGAGUAUAUCUCUCCAUCGUCGGAGGAGCAAAUCCCAAUCUCGAGCUAUCAAGUCACUUAACAUACUUUCCCAUGAACCCGUAAGCCGCCGUAAUAGCCAUCCAGUUACGGAUGACGUUUAACAAACCCCAAAGUUCAUGAAGCAAGCAUGAAGAAACUCGAUACUCUCAUGGUCUAAGGAAUUAUGCAAACAUUAACUAUCUCUGUGUUAUAAACCAAUAACUUGUGAUGAAUGUAUCUCAUAGCAUAACAUCAAUUCGGGUCGAUUCAACACACAUGUCCUUCCUGACAUUGUGCCCUCAAAAUUGCUUGGCAUAGACAUGCCCAUGAUUGGGAAAACAUAAUCAUCAUGCAACGCUUGAGCUAGUCUUAGAGGCACGACUAGGAAUACAUUUUACCGUUUAUUAUUCCACACGUGCAUAUGGGUUCUCCCCAGAGCCUUUAUGGAUAUACGGGCUCGGGAACCACAGCAGUUAUAGCAUGGAACAUAAACAUAAUUAUGAACAGGGAGAUAAUCAAUAACAUUUAUUAUUGCCUCUAGUGCAUAUCUCCUACAGACUCCCACUUGCACUAGAGACAAUAAUCUAGCUUAUGCUAAUGCACUUCACACCUGUGGCACACCGGUGUAAAUAUGCUUCGCUUGUGGUAUAGCCUGAUGUCCAACGGAUCUGACGACUUCAGUUCCGUGUGUAUCUUUGCAUGUCCUCGCGUUUUCACAUUUUCACAAAAUUCAUAUUUUGUGUGGACUUGGCUUUGUAUGCAUGUGAAUCACAGGUCGAACCUGGAUACCUCAGACUGAGUUAUGGAGCAACUACCUGCAGUAGUGUCCCAUUGUCAAAAGCCAUCUUGGAACUAUACUAAGUUCAUGAAUGAACUAUAUGAUUCAACAUCUUCUUUGUCGCUUCUAAAGCGUCAACAUACUUAGCCCUUGUUAUAGAAUUCGCCACAGUAACUAGUUUGAACAAAUUCCAACUAAUUGUGCCACCACAUUGUGUGUUACACAAAACCCUUAAUUUAAAUCGAAAAUCGCAUGGAGAAAAGAUGAAGACUCUAUCGAUGUAACAUUUUACAACGAACUCUUCAUGAUCUCUGCUUGCGAGAGAGCCAUGUCAUCAGUACUUACUCUAGUACUCUGUGACAUCUUUCACUGUUGUCCCAUGAUCAGUAAUUUGAUCACUUUGGUAUCCAUACUCGCAACACCUUGGGAGUAUCGGACAUAUCUGGUUGUUUUACAUACCAUGGAAUACAUGAUUAAUCCAAACACAAAAGUGUGUGGAAUCUGCAUCAUGUAUUUUACUCAUCAGUGUUUUGGGACACCGAGUCUUGCAGAAACUCUUUCCAUGUGACUUUGGCAAGAAUCACUCCUUCGCGUUUUAAAUGCUAAAAGGUUUUAGCAUCUUGUCAAUAUGUAUUCAUUGCUUAGCCCCAUUAGGUAAAUCUAUCUCCAUAGAUCAUCAUGCCUAAUAUUGAGGCUAUUUAGCCUAAGCACUUCAUCGAAAAACUAUUUUCAAAUGAAGUCCUAAUUUGUGUCAAGAAAUUUAUUUCCAAUUACCAAUGUGCCAAGCACAUAAGGUUUUUAGAAAUAUUAUUACGCUCCCACUUACUUUCUUGAAUUACAAGAAUCUUCGUUACCCAUUGAUGAAGUCAAAACCCCUUUGACCAUUUCAUCAAAACACGAAGAUUCCAACUCCAUUUUGCUCUCUUCUGUCCAUUGCUGGAACUCUGAAGUUUGCAUACCUACUAGCAUCCUCUAGAUCGACAAAUUACUUUGGACUGUAUCAUAUACAAGUCCUAGCUUUCAUUUCCAUCAGAUGGAAAUCCUUUUAUCAUCCAUGUUUCAUAUCUCAUGAUUGAAAUAUGUAUUAAUUGCUAGUUCAACCCGAACCGACUUUAAGCAUCGCUACGAUGAAAACAACCUCAUCGUAUUAUUUCAACAAGUCGAGCUUUAUGGAUAAAACAUUUUAUCCGUAUCAGUUUUAAGUUCCAUAAAUAUUCGUUAGACUCUAAGUCUUCCGAAAGGUGUAUCAAGGUUUUAAUCUUGAAUCACUUAUAUGGAAACUAACUCGGGUUGUAUUGGCAUUUAGCCAAUUCCGGAGUCAGGGCCCAUCAACGCUUCCUUGUGUAUCGUAGGUAUAAUGUUGUCUAACAACAAUAUCUCGUUUGCGCACCUGAGAGGUUUGCACGAGCCUUGCCUACGUGGUUCAGCUGCAAGUUCGACCGAAGUUCAUAUAUUUUAUUGUAGAGACUUCUGUAUCAGUCGCAGUAGGAAACUCUGGAAUUUCUUCCAAGGUCUCUUUCCUUUGAUCUGAUGAAGAUACUGUUUAUCUCGUCGAGUUGCACUAUUCUCCCACUCACCUUUUAGAAAGAACCAUUCUCUUUAAAAGCACACCGUUUCGCGGCAAAACUAUUUGCCUCGGUAUAGUGAGGGAGGAAUACCCAACAUUUUGGUAUAACCUACAAAGUAGCACUUGUCUGAUUUGGAAUAGGUUUGUAACCUUUUACACAAGCCCCAUAUUCCAAAUGUUAAGAAAAGAUAUAACAUGGUUGGGCGUACCAUACCAUGGCUUCAUUUCAACAGACCCGAUGUAGCUCUUUUCAGUGUAAAAGCCGCAGUCUCUAAAGCAUCACUUUAAAAGGGAUAAUGGCAAAUUUAUUUAUGUCAUCUUUGACCUUACCAUGUCAUAAAUGGUUUGAUUACAUCUCCACGGACUUUCCACUUGCAGUGGUGUUCCGGGAGGUGCAAGUUUAUGAAACCCCUUUCACAACUCAUCAGACAUUCGCUAAACAUGUAACUCAAAUAUUCCUUUGUGCAAUCAAAUUGCAGAAACAUACUUUUCUUGUUACAAUAACUUCUACUUCAUUUUUGAGAACCUUUUGAAUGAUUUCAAAAGAUCCAGACUUACGUCUCAUCAAGUAAAUAUCCAUAUAUCUACUUGAGUCAUUUCUGAAGAUAAAUAAAUCCACCACUAACAACACUUAUCGGACUACAUACAUCAAAUGUAUGAUCACUAAUAAGUUUAUUGUUCGUUCCUUAUGGCCUGUGAACGGUAUUUUAGUCACUUCACUUUUCGGAGGAAAGUUGCAAGUGUCAGAUGAUUCAAAAUCAAAAAGACUUCAAAAUCCAUCAUAAUGGAAUUUUCCAUGCGGGUUUCUCCAAUGUGACCAAAUGUAGUGCCACACUUGUGUGGUAUUCUUUUAGUCUUGCGACAUUUAGCGUCAGUGUUAUGGAUGUAUCAUAUUACCCUCAAUAUUCAUAACAUACGUCCCAUCGAUGAUGGAAGUAUGGCCCUUAUGUUAUUCAUAAUACUUAACAACAAUUGUUGUUUUUAUGAACAACUCUUUUGCAACAAACAUUGUGCAAUGGGCUAGAGUGUAUGAAACUCUAAAAUGAAUUAUGAAAGUAAACCCAGAGGUAUUGUAUUAUUAUCAAUAUUCAUAACACACAUCUCAUUCAUAAUGAAAGUAUGGCCCUUGUGUUAUUCAUAACAUCGAACAUAAAAAGUUAUCUUAUGAACAACCUUCUUGCAAGAUGCCUUAUGAAAUGGGAUAGAGUUUGUAAAACUCUAAAUUAAUUAUGAAAAUAAAUACAGACGGCAAUACACCGAUGGAAGGUAUAGUAACAUUUACUAUGUUCCCUGUGUAUACCUUAACCUCAUUUCUAGCUAGUCUUUCAAGCCAUAGUAGUUCUUACAUCGAGUUGCAACAGAAUGCAAUCGAGCGGGCAUUUUUGUGAUGAACUCACAAUACCCAAGAAUUAGUGAUUAACAUGUUUAACCAUAAUUCGCAAGAACUAUAUCUUUGACCAGCCUUCUAUACAUCAAAAACUUGUAUGACAUUCAUACAUGAGCUGGAUAUUCCAGUCUUCUUUCCUUUUGCCUUUAUACUUCUAGCAGUUUAACUUUUAGUAUUUCUCCUACUCUCAGAAGAAGCACCCAACUUAAGAGUGGCAUUAGCCCCGGACUUCCUAGGCGUGUAAGUCAUACUAACACCCUUUGGACACUUCCUUUCUCUUUAAGUUGUUGUUUUAUUCACCUUUCAUUAUAUGACAGGCGUUCUUCUGGAUCCCUUUCCCAACAGUCAAAUGCAUAGUAAACACUUUUACUAAUACUUGCAAACAAACAUUGCUUUGUUUGUAUCUGAAAAUAAUUUUCAGUUCCAUGAAUAUCAUAUAACUAUCCCAACUUUCGAAGUUUGGGUUUCAUGGAAGCAAACAUAUUCCACUUGACCGUAACAGAAUUCUAGCUUUUGGAUCAAAGGACGAGAGUCACAUGAUCCAUAGCAUUAGCGGGAGGAUACGGAAAGCAUGCGAUAGGACAAAGUCCUUCUCGGCACUUUUGAGGACAAUCCUCAUAUUAUGGUACCAAUCAUAAAGUUUUAACCAGAUAUUUAACAGCUAUUCAAUUUUAACAGGGAAGGUGGAAACGCGAGCCAUUAUUCUACAACUAUUUUGCAUAUAACACUUAGACAAUGUUCAUAAUUAAUUGCACUAAGAAUUAAACAUGUUAAUUCAACAGUGCGCUCCCACUCAAUUCAAUAUCUCUCAAAAUUGAUUGUGAGUGAUACAAGACCCACAUUUCAAUUGUUCGCCAUUGGUGUAACACCACUGAUGACGAAAAAUUUCAACCGGUAGGCCAACUUGCCAAUCACAUCUCUAUGUGACUCUUGUUCAUCUUUCGAUGCGUGUGUUCCGAGCUCAUGACGGUCAUGCCUGAACGUCAAGACAACCAAGUGAUCUCGCUGCAAGGUCUCAACUCACCCGCCUCACACUUCUCUAAUCGUUCGUACCCGUGUGACACGGCGCACCCCGAAAAGAUAGGUGCCGUGACGGUGCUACACUUGGGAGAACACUAACUACUUGGUAUUUUAAGUGAGAGAUCACCCUAAUAAAAGCGACUACCGCGCAAUCAAGAAGGGUGCAUCAUAAGGGAUAAACAUCUCAGGCAAUUCAUAAUAGCAUGAUAUGGUAUAGCCCUUUCUGACGGAGAAGUCUUUCAUUUCUUCGUCUUCGGCAUUCGCGUCGGUGUUCACCUUCGCGAAGAUUGCCACCACCUUGUCGAUGCACCAGAUAAUAUUGCUAUCUCUAUAGCUAACAAAAUAAUGCAUUACAACAAGGUGGACACGCAGGUCAUUAAAGUGCAAUCAUAUGGCUCCAACCAUCAUGCCGAAUCAUGACACGCAGGUCAUGUUAAUCAAAUUACAUCAUAUAGUCAUCUCAGACAUAAUCGAAUUAGUAUGAGCACUGCUAUACCACAUCAUAUGCACAUCCUGCAAAACCAAGUUAGACGCCUCUAAUCGGUUUAUGCAAAAUUUAUUUUACGUGGCUUCUAAGGUUUUGACUUAAACCGCAGCGACCAACGUUUUAUCAUCAAGUAUGAUUAUUCAAGUUGCUAGAUUAACAUCUCGAGGUGUAUGAAACACGGGAUAAUUAAAUCUCGAGCCCCAUACUAAACUUCGUCAUACGCAUGACCCCCGUGCAGAUCAUAUCUGCAAUGCCCUUUCAUCUGCGAAUUUCAUCUUUCUUUUGACUACGGCAGAACCCAAAGAACUGAUAGCACUUCCAUGAUCAAUCAGGAUCACGGAUUGCCAGAACUUUGUCAAAUUCCACCAUGCUGUCUCCAGAUUGAGCACACGCAAAUUCUAGGGAAGCAACAAGAACCUCGGGUAACAGAUUUCAUCUGUCACCCGCAUAAAUAAUUUUCAGCAAUAGAUCUCAUCUACUACCUAAUUAUAUUAUGCAAUACCCAUACAUCUCCAUGUAUUAUAGAUCGAAACCUACAUCUACGCAUAGCACGGCUCUUGAUGCCACUGAAGGGGAACGCGACAGAAAACAAAAAUUUUCCGACCUACGCACCAGCCCAGGACCACUAUGGAGACUGCAUACAUGGUUUGAUCUUUUUCGUUACCGACUCGUAGCGCAGCGGGAAGUAGAGUCGAUGACGAUCGGCGGUGCAGAUCCCCGCAGCUAGGAUUUACAACCUCCCAACCGCGAGGAUGUAUACCCUCAUCUGCUCCUCAGACGGCCCUCCGGGAGGCGGUCGAACAGCCCCCCGGACGGUGUCGCGGACAGCCCUUCGGGAGGACCUUCGAAACUCGAACGGUCACUCGGACAGCCCUUUGGGAGGACCUUCGAAACUCGGACGGUCACACGGACAGCCCUUCGGGAGGCACUCACGAACUAAGACCGAAACUACGAUCUCUCUACAGAGUUGCACACAUACGGUGUCAUCUAUCCGGCAGGGCUUCGCCGUCCAGAACUAGUUCCUGCCGGAACCCAGACAGCCUUACGGCUCUACGAAACUCUUUUCGUGGGAGGGAGAGAAGAGGCCAGAUAAUGCAUGGCAUGUGUAUGAGAGCAAGGGAUGAGUGUGGAGGGCUGCCCUCCACCUCUGUUUAUAGGAAAUCCCAAGGGGUAGGGUAGUUUCACAAAAAACCCAAAAUGCACAUGAAUGAAGUCCUUCCACAAGGACCUAGGAGUGAAACCAAGGAACAAGAGGGUCCUCAAGGGGGGAUACCCCAUGUGGCCGGCCACACCCCCAUGAGGGGCCCAAAAAAUGGCUCAUAUCCAUCCAUGUCAUCCCCAAGAUCUUUUGGAGCAAAGCCCCAAAAGGUGGCUUUCCAUAAAGUAACCAUAAAGCUGAUUUUCACUAUUCACGACGACAUUUUUCAGCGUCUGAUCGAACUGAAAAUAUUUAUGUGGGCUAAGAACAUUUCCAGUACCCACUAAAAUGAUUUUCAACGCGUUCCGAAACAAUUCCGGUUUUAGUGAUUUUCAUCUGCGAAACGCAUCUGAAGUGGCUCCGGCAGCUCCGGAACAUUUCCGGUUUUUAUCUCAGAAAAUUCCAAAAAGCUUCCAGAAUGAUUCUGGCAUCCUCCAAGAAUUAUCAGGCAUGUGCCGAAACCAAUUUGACUUAAUGGUGUAUCCCAAAACAACUUUUCGGUAUCAUCGAAACUUAUCCGAUGACCUCUCUCUGCGGUACGAUUCCGCUGUCCGAAACUUUUCGGUGUCCGAAACUUUUUCGGUGAUUUUCUCUCAGACUCCCUGUCUAGUAUUCAGCAGAUAGAUGACCCUUAAGCGUGUGACCCUAUAGGUUCGGUGAAGUAUAGACAUGACCCGGAACCCCUUCCGAUCAAUGAUCAACAUCGGAGCCGUGGACACCCAUAUUGACCCCUAUACCCACACGAAUAAAUAUUCGAGUGAACCUCCAGUUGCCGUGUGCUAUUCCUGUUGCUUCGCGAUAUGUUACAAAUACCCGAGGUGAGGCAUGUUGGCAUUCCCGUGGAUCAACAACUUGUCCACUAUGCUAGUUACCUCGUUACCGGUUUUGUUCUCUUUUCUCGUUUCGUGUUCCGGCAUCCCCGUGAUUAAAUCACAAAGUGUCUGGCCAGACGAUGAUGGACACCGUAACACCGAGAGGGCCCGAGUAUAUCUCUCCAUCGUUGGAGGAGCAAAUCCCAAUCUCGAGCUAUCAAGUCACUUAACAUACUUUCCCAUGAACCCGUAAGCCGCCGUAAUAGCCAUCCAGUUACGGAUGACGUUUAACAAACCCCAAAGUUCAUGAAGCAAGCAUGAAGAAACUCGAUACUCUCAUGGUCUAAGGAAUUAUGCAAACAUUAACUAUCUCUGUGUUAUAAACCAAUAACUUGUGAUGAAUGUAUCUCAUAGCAUAACAUCAAUUCGGGUCGAUUCAACACACAUGUCCUUCCUGACAUUGUGCCCUCAAAAUUGCUUGGCAUAGACAUGCCCAUAAUUGGGAAAACAUAAUCAUCAUGCAACACUUGAGCUAGUCUUAGAGGCACGACUAGGAAUACAUUUUACCGUUUAUUAUUCCACACGUGCAUAUGGGUUCUCCCCAGAGCCUUUAUGGAUAUACGGGCUCGGGAACCACAGCAGUUAUAGCAUGGAACAUAAACAUAAUUAUGAACAGGGAGAUAAUCAAUAACAUUUAUUAUUGCCUCUAGGGCAUAUCUCCUACACAGAUUGUUAGGCCACAUACUUAUAAAGGCCUUGGAUGUACUUCACCAUCUGCAGAACACACUUCAUGAAUUAAGGAUGGCCUUGAUUUUCUCAAGUUUCUCCUUGCUUGCAUGCCCAUCACUCAGCAGCUCAUUCACCACAUGCUCAAGCUUGGCCUUCUCUAUCUUAAGAAAAUCUCUCUCCUGUUCAACCUCCUUCUUUGCCUUCCUGGUAUUCUUGAUAAUGUCAGCUUGACUCUGUAAAAUGCACCUUUGUUCCUUGGCAAGUUUGAGCUUCUCCAUCUGAACCUCCAACCUAGCACUCUCUUCUACCUCUUUCUUCUUCUUCUCAAAAUUGUUCCUCCUCAACUGCCUUCUGGUUAUCCAUGUGGCCUACCCUACCAUCCUGCCAAUGAAACAUCUUGGAUACAUCUUGGACAAGCUUUGUGUACUCAAUGCACAACUUGUCAUUUUCAGUCUUAAGCUUGGCCAAAUGCUUCUCAUACUUCUGCUUUUCAACUACCCUGCCACAAUUCUGUUCAUGGUACAUGUCCCACAGCCUGGACAAGCAAUUCUGAAGAAUUGGAUGCGAGGGCUUGUCAACCCACUCAGUAACACCACAGUUAACACCUUCACUCUGCAUUUGGAAAUUGAAAUAUACAUCACUAAGUGCACUCAAAUUCAUAACAACAAAUCAUAUCAGACUAAGAAACUAAUGGUGAGGCUUAAGUAAACUAAAUAUGUUGUUUAAUAUAACUCAAACUAUAACUGAAACCCAACCUGCUUGUACAAGUACAUUCACAGAUAUAUGCUUCCUAUACAUAAGCAUUUUUGAUAGUAACCAUAUCCCUCAAUACCUUAAUACAAGGCAUAUUGCAGUUCAUCCUAAAUAAUACAGUGUAGGUUCAGAAGAGCAACUUGUCAACAUAAUACUGUGUGGGUUCAGAACAGCAACUUGUCAUCCUUGUAAAUACAUGUGUGGGUUCAGAAGAAAAUGAUUCCAAUUAAGGUACUAUACCUGCUGCACUGGACAACCAUAGAAACGCCUUCCAGUUAAGGUUCCUUCAAAUGCCACACACUUAAUUGGCCUCAUGUGGUGCAUCAUGCAGGUGGGUUCAGAAAGCUCCAGCUGGCCACAGAAAAGAGGCUCCACGGUGGUGUCAGGGGUCUCCUGCAUGAACACAUCAACAAAAUCACCUUAGCUCACAAAACCAGACAUAGAUCACAAAUUAAUUCCCCAAUCCAGCAAGAACCCUAACCCAAACCCUAGUUUUCAAGCAUACAUAAACAUAGCUCAAACAGCAACCAUAACCCUGCCUACUAAAUAACAGUAAACAAAGCUUACCCUAGCUCACCAAGAUGAACACUAACCUAAUCUAGCUCCUAGAUGAACCCUAACCCUAGCUCAGCAGAUCGAAAAACUUACCCAAAGAGCCAUAUCCAUGCUUGUGAUGUCGCACUCAUCCUCUGAGCUCGUAUCCCCGUCAUUCCAGGAAGGCAUGGCGGCGGUGGAGCUUCCACAGCGCAAGUCGCCGCCGGCGUCGAAGAGCAGAGAGGAGAGGAGCGAGAGAGUGAGAGUGAGAGCAGAGGAAUGAGUGCGGGCAGGGGAGCAGAGUGAGAGGGAGGGAGACCACUUAAUGAGCGCACGGCAGCGAGCGAGCGGGUGCGGUCCGACCGCACCGGUCGGUCCGAAUAACGGCCGUUAACGGCCUCGCCGUCACGCGCGGCGCUGACGUGGCCUGACAGGCGGGCCCGGACCGUCAGAAAACGGUUUAAAACGCUAGCAACGGGCGAUUUGGGUUUUUUGAGACAGCCGACCAAAAAAAUGGUAGGUAUCAGUCACAAACAAAAAAGUGGUGGUUUUUUGGAACCAUAGGACGAAAAGUGGUAGUUUUAUGCUAUUUACUCUCGGGGAAGGGAGGCAGGGGCGUGGCGAUUCCGGUGACCAGGUUGAUUAGUUUCGGCUCAGCACCCCCGGCGAAGAGCCAGACGGCCGCGCCAUAUGCGCUAGCCACCCAGUUCCUGCCGCUGCCGCCCGCGGAUGGAUCCGCGGCAGCUAAGACGAUGUCAUCGUCGUAAUCGCGGCGGUGGCUCGAUGACGCAUCAUCGGAAGAGACUUUGACCUCGAUGUGCCCGGACCCGGAGUAGACCACGGGGGAGUGCAUGAUCUGGCCGUCGUUGCUUGGCCAGAGGAGCCAUGGCGGGAAUUUGGGGCGCGUGGCUGCGGAGUGCAGUCGUUCCCGCCAGGACGUGCAGACGGCGUGGAAGCGGACGAAGUCGGCGGCGUCGUGCAGACGGGCGGAGACGGCGAGGAGCAUGUCGGGCGAGAGAUCGGACCACCGCCGGGAGUUCCUCGGGGCGUGCGUGCCGCCGGGCUAGGGCGCCUGCGCAGCGGCGACGUGGGUUUCCAUGGGAUCGGAUCAGAGGGGAUCAAGAAGAGAUCGGAUCAGAGGGGCUCCGUGGACAACUCAACCCUAGCGUGAUUACGUCUUUUUCAGUUUGUUACCAAAAACGUGUACUGGCAGGGUAGCCAGCGUUUCUGCUCAGCCCGUUUGAUCUAUGGAAAUCUCAGUGUUUCAUCUAAAAAAAACCUAAUCCGCUUGGGAUAGGCCAGAGGUCAAUCCACUGAAAACUAUUUUGGGGUCAGACGGUCAAUCAAUUUGUUUACGGCCGUAGGAUGCAAAACCAGUGCCCAUAUGCCUUCUAUGUUCAUUGUUUUACCCAAGCCGUCCCACGGACCACCGGCCGAACCGCUAGCCACCUCAGGCAGCACUCCCGUGCCAGCCUCAUAGCCCCGCCUUCCCCUCACCGCCACCCACCGCCGUGUUGGCACCGCCGCGGCCAUCCCUCUAAACCGGCGAAGCACCAGAAUUUCCCGACAAGCCCUGCAACUCCCACCACCCCGAACCAUCAUAUCGUUUUCGUCGGCUACAACUCAUUCCUAGCCAAGGCCUUGCCGGUGUCCCCGGGCCUCGCUGCCGCUUGCGCCAGCACAAAAUUCUUGACACACAUCCGAGACGCACUCUCAAUGCGCACAUCCGAGCACAUAUAUAUUUUUCUAUUUCAGGCUUUCUGUCCGCAAUUUUUUCCAGGUUGUAGGUUUUACUAUCUUAUCACAUAACGGACCCGGGUGGAUAAUGUGUGCUUUAUUUCGUCUUCAUCCCUAGUCGGCGAGCUUUGAAGGAGAGAGAUGGAGAUAAAGGGAAGGGGCCGAGUAGCGGGACAGACGGAGCGGCUGGCGAGGCGGGCAGAGUGGCUUACCGGUGGGACAAACGGAUUGGCCGGCAAUACAAGCAGAGAGGUUGACCGGCGAGACGUGCAGACUGGUCGGCGAGGUGGGUAGACCGACCGGGGAGAUAGGUAGAGUGGCCGGCGUCAGCGAGGUAGUCUCCACACACAUUUAUUUCCUGGAAUUUUCUACCGGUUUUGAUUUGUUGGUAGGUGUUAUGGAAAACAUAAUAGAAAACAAAAAAAAAA
rnacentral:lncRNA from 1 species